UGAAAUGCAUGGAUACAAAGGAUGCUUGGAAACAGAGAGGACUGCUCUGUUGGAAAUCAAGAGCUUCUUCAUAUCAGUCAGUGAUAUUGGAUAUGAUGACAAAAUUCUUCCUUCAUGGGUUGGGGAGGAUGAUGGAAUGCCGUCUGAUUGUUGUGAUGAUUGGGAGGGAGUUAAGUGCAACGUCACCACACGACGUGUGAUGCAACUCUCACUCAAUUAUACAGAGAGAUUGAAUUAUUAUGAUGGAACUUCGGCUUCGCUUCUGAAUAUGUCAUUGUUUCAUCCUUUUGAAGAAUUGCAAAGUCUUGACUUAUCUGGGAAUGGGUUUGCAGGCAUCUAUGAGAAUAGAGGUCCGUAUAUAUGUAUACAUUUAUUUCUCGUCCAUAAAUAUUUUGUCAGUGACUAAUUAAUAAUAACACUUCAUAUGCAUUUGCAGCUUACGAUAGCUUUGGGAGUUUGAAGCAGCUGAAGAUGUUAAAUCUUGGUUUUAAUGACUUUAACGACAACAUAUUACCAUAUUUGAAUACACUAACUUCACUUACCACCUUGAUCCUUAAUUGGAAUUCCAUUGAAGGUUCCAGAACCAAGCAAGGUAUAUACAUAUACGUUCCAGAACCAAGCAAGGUAUAUACAUAUACUUUCUUAAUUAAAAUAUAUAUUUAUAUUGUCUUGAUCAAAAUUAAUGUUUUCUGAGCAGGAUUAGCAAAUUUGACAUACUUGCAAGUGUUGGAUCUAAGCUGGAACGCCGAUAUGACUAGUGGCUCUUUAACAAGGCUAGGUAGGCUACUGAGAUAACUACCAAGUUAGCACACUAAUCACAACCUUCUACAAUAAUUUUAAAAGUAAUAUUUUGCUUUUCAUUGGUGUAGGAUUGGCAAAUUUGACAAACCUGAAAAAAUUGGAUCUUGCUCACUGUGGAAUAACUACAAUUCAAGGUACACGGCAACAAGUCACUACCCAAAUUCCUUGUGAUAUUAUUAUGGCCUUAAUUUUUACAGAUGCAUAAUGUCAAAUUAAAACCAAUUUUUUACUGGAAAACUUGACAAACUUGACUACAAUUGGUACACAGCAAAAAUUUACUUUCUAAUUUCUUAGUAAAAUUUAAAAAAAAAAAAGAAAAAAGAAAACCAUUUUUGAGUAUAUGAUCAAUUUAAUUAGAUCUGAAUCAAAAGCUUUAUUACUACAAUUAUUUAAUCUAACUUUGAAAUUUGUUUCUUAAUCUUAAUUCUUUUUUUUUCCAAAGAUGAUUAAUAAAAUUUUUCUUCUUUCUUGGUAUAGGAUUAGCUAAAUUAAAAAACUUGGAAGCGUUGGAUUUGAGUUCUAAUUAUUAUAUACACGGUUCUUUAGAAGGUAAUUUUUUUAAUUAAAUAAUUUACACAGUUAAUUUUCAUUCAAUAUUUACCAUAUUAUUUUAAUUAAACAAUUUAGACGAGAGUGACAUAACUGUUAUUGACAAAAUUUAUGUUUUUUUUAACAGGAUUAGCAAAUUUGACAAACCUGCAAGUGUUGGAUUUAAGCUAUAAUCAAAAUUUGACAACGCUAGGUAAGCCACUAAAUCUGAGAUAAGAAGCAAAUUAAAUGUAGAAUUAAUGUUCAUCAAACGCGCGGAUCACAUACAAUGCCUUUAAAUGUAAUAUUUUCAUUUUUUAUCAGCGCAUGUAGGAUUCGCAGAUUUGCCAAACUUGAAAACAUUGGAUCUUGGUAAUUGUGGGAUAACUACAAUUCAAGGUAUAUAACAAUUCACUUCCUCCAAUGAUAAAAAUUGUUUUAGAUGUUAAUCAAGAUGAUAAUAUAUUUCCAUUUUUUUAAUUGCUUUUUUCACAUUUUCAAGUUUACUAAAAGUGCAAACUCAUUUACAAAUUAUGAUUCAAACACUCCAAAUCUUGGUAAUGCUAAAAGUGACGGUAUAUAUUAAAAUAUCAAUAGAAACAAAAAAAAUUAACAAUUUGCACAGUUAAUUUCAUUCAAUAUUUACCAUAUUAUUUUAAUUAAACAAUUUAGACGAGAGUGACAUAACUGUUAUUGACAAAAUUUAUGUUUUUUUUUUAACAGGAUUAGCAAAUUUGACAAACCUGCAAGUGUUGGAUUUAAGCUAUAAUCAAAACUUGACAACGCUAGGUAAGCCACAAAAUCUGAGAUAAGAAGCAAAUUAAAUGUAGAAUUAAUGUUCAUCAAACGAGCGGAUCACAUACAAUGCCUUUAAAUGUAAUAUUUUCAUUUUUUAUCGGCGCAUGUAGGAUUCGCAGAUUUGCCAAACUUGAAAACAUUGGAUCUUCAUUAUUGUGGGAUAACAACAAUUCAAGGUAUAUAACAAUUCACUUCCUCCAAUGACAAAAAUUGUUUUAGAUGUUAAUCAAGAUGAUAAUAUAUUUCCAUUUUUUUAAUUGCUUUUUUCACAUUUUCAAGUUUACUAAAAGUGCAAACUCAUUUACAAAUUAUGAUUCAAACACUCCAAAUCUUGGUAAUGCUAAAAGUGACGGUAUAUAUUAAAAUAUCAAUAGAAACAAAAAAAAUUAACAAUUUGCACAGUUAAUUUUCAUUCAAUAUUUACCAUAUUAUUUUAAUUAAACAAUUUAGACGAGAGUGACAUAACUGUUAUUGACAAAAUUUAUGUUUUUUUUUUUAACAGGAUUAGCAAAUUUGACAAACCUGCAAGUGUUGGAUUUAAGCUAUAAUCAAAAUUUAACAACGCUAGGUAAGCCACAAAAUCUGAGAUAAGAAGCAAAUUAAAUGUAGAAUUAAUGUUCAUCAAACGUGCGGAUCACAUACAAUGCCUUUAAAUGUAAUAUUUUAAUCUUUUAUCGGCGCAUGUAGUAUUCGCAGAUUUGCCAAACUUGAAAACAUUGGAUCUUCGUUAUUGUGGGAUAACUACAAUUCAAGGUAUAUAACAAUUCACUUCCUCCAAUGACAAAAAUUGUUUUAGAUGUUAAUCAAGAUGAUAAUAUAUUUCCAUUUUUUUAAUUGCUUUUUUCACAUUUUCAAGUUUACUGAAAGUGCAAACUCAUUUACAAAUUAUGAUUCAAACACUUCAAAUCUUGGUAAUGCUAAAAGUGACGGUAUAUAUUAAAAUAUCAAUAGAAACAAAAAAAAUAACAAUUUGCACAGUUAAUUUUCAAUCAAUAUUUACCAUAUUAUUUUAAUUAAACAAUUUAGACGAGAGUGACAUAACUGUUAUUGACAAAAUUUAUGUUUUUUUUUAACAGGAUUAGCAAAUUUGACAAACCUGCAAGUGUUGGAUUUAAGCUAUAAUCAAAAUUUGACAACGCUAGGUAAGCCACUAAAUAUGAGAUAAGAAGCAAAUUAAAUGUAGAAUUAAUGUUCAUCAAACGAGCGGAUCACAUACAAUGCUUUUAAAUGUAAUAUUUUUAUUUUUUAUCGGUGCAUGUAGGAUUCGCAGAUUUGCCAAACUUGAAAACAUUGGAUCUUCGUUAUUGUGGGAUAACUACAAUUCAAGGUAUAUAACAAUUCACUUCCUCCAAUGACAAUAAUUGUUUUAGAUGUUAAUCAAGAUGAUAAUAUAUUUCCAUUUUUUAAUUGCUUUAAACUAGAUCAAAUUUAAAUUAGAAGCACUGCUUUCUUUACAAAGUUUAGUACUUGACAUACUCUAUCACCAAUUUCCGACAUAACCCGCUCAUUUCUUUCACUCUCUCUUAAUUCUAAAUCUUUUUUAUAAAAAAAUCAACAAUGAUAUUUAUCUUUAUUUCAAUAUUUAUAAUUCUGAAUGAAUUUUUUUUUUCUUAUGUUCAUUAAUUCUUGAUGCAUGACUAGCUAAAUUCAAAAGCUUGGAAGCAUUGAAAUUGAGUUAUAGUAACAUAAACAAUUCUCUAGAAACCCAUAUUAAAUAAUUUACACUGUGUUUUUAUGUUGAAACAUGAUAAAUAAGAGCCCAAUAUUGUUUUCUAAUUGUUGUUUUCAAAAAUAAAAAUGAAAAUGCUAUUUUUAAAAUUUAAAAAUGUGUUCAGUAUCAUUUUCAAAAAUAAUCUCAAAAAUGAGAAAAAUAAAAAUAUGUUUGGUAAGAAUAUCUCAAAGAAUUAUUAUUGGAAUAAUUUCCAUAAACUUAAGAUUAAGCAAUGUAUAUUGAUUAUUUUAAUUUUAAGAAUAAAUUAGGUGAUCUUUCUAUUUUUUUGUUCAAAGAAAAAUGAUAAACCCUACAAAUUUGAUUUAGUUAUUAUAUAAAAACAUAAAUAUUAUAAUGUAUAUAAAAAGAAAAGAUUAUUGUGAGGGAAAUUGAUUCUUUGGGUACAACAACAACAACAACAAUAAUAAUAAUAAUCUCUAGGUGACAUAAGUUUUCACAAAUUUUAAGAAGAUGACACAUUUUAAAAAAAUAUUCGAGUGAGUGACAUUCUAUUAACUUUUGCCAUUAAUUUUAAUAAGAUUAGUAAAUUAAAUGACAUUUCUACCCCACAAAAUGAUGUUUCUGCCCAUACUCACUCAUUUUUAAUUUUUUAAAUAGAAAAUUAUAAAAAAAUUAAACCUAGGUCUAAUUAACAGGUUUUUUUUGUUAAAUCAAAUAAUAUUUUUUUUUAAAAAAAUUUUGUUGAAUCAAACUGAUUUGUGAAUAUAAAGAAGCAAAAAUCUUAUGAAUUGUAAAGUAUUGUAUAAAUUCAAAAUUUUCGUCUCUUUGGCUUUAUGAAAACAAAAGUCUAUUUUUUUCCAAUUCUACUCUCGACUGGUUAAAAUUAACAGUAAAAGUUAAUGGAAUGUCACCUACUCGAGUGUUUUCAAAACAUGUGUCAUCUUUUUGAAAUUUAUUAAAACAUGUGUCACCCAGGGAUAAUUAGACCUAAUGAUAAUAAUAAUAAUAAUGUUGAUAUUAUUAUUAUUUCAGGAGGAGGUAAAGAGAAUUCUUCAUUUUGGAACUUAAUAUUGUAUUGGAAAAUAAGGAAAAUAAGAUAAAGUUGUUUCUCAUUUCUUUUGUUAAAAUGUGUGGAAUGAAUUUUAUAUUUUUAAAAAUAUUUCAGAAACAAUCUACCGAACACAUAUCUAAUAUUUUCUAAAUUCAAAAAAUAAAAAACAGCAUAUAAAAACAAUGCCAACGCACCCAAUAUUUGCAUUACUGAUACACAAUUCCUACUUCCCAGUGACUUGUUGGUCAAAGUACUUUGACCAAAUUAAAUAUGAAGACCAGUUUUUUUUUUUCCCCGCUUGGGCAAAUAGAUUUUUUUUUUUUAAUGCUAUGAGAAGAAUAAAUAAAGUUUAAGAAAGCAACUAAUAUAUUAUGAGUUUCUCUUUACAUUAUCCAACAAAUUUAGAGAUUAGAAAACCAAUAUCCAACGAAAAAGACGAAGUCAACAAACUCUUCCGCAGAAAAUCAUUAUUUUAAACAACGAGAAUUGCUGAAACACUUUUUGAAUGGAUUAUGAUGAGCAAGAAUUGCUGACUACUUUUAUGUUAUUAUUAUUAUUAUUAUUAUUAUUAUUAUUAUUAUUAUUGUUAGAUUAAUUGAAACGCUUUUGCAAUCAACAUCAUAUUAUAUGAGAAAUAAAUUCAUAUCAUUCUAUUAUUAUUUAUGUUGACCAAAAUACUUAGACAAUUUGAUUUCAUGUCCGUUUUAUAAGUCUUAUAUUGGGUUUAUGAUUGAAUGCGCUAUAAUUAGUUUUCGUUUUAUGAAAUCUGAGCUUUUUAUUUUCACUUUCAGGAAUAUGUAAUUUGAAGAAUCUUCUUGAGUUGGAUUUAAGCUCAAAUAAUUUUGAGGGUCAUCUUCCUCAGUGUCUCAACAACUUGACUCAUCUCAAAGUUCUUGAUAUUUCGCACAAUCAGUUAAGUGGAAACUUUCCUUCUGCCUUGACCAACCUCACAUCACUUGAAUAUUUGGAUCUCUCUUUCAUCGAUUUCCAAGGAACAUUCUUAAUCAAUUCAUUGGCUAAUCAUUCAAAGCUUGAGGUCUUGCGACUCUCGUCAGGAAACAAUAUGUUGCAAGUGAAAACCAAAAACUGGCUCCCCACAUAUCCUCUCAAGGUUCUCCAAUUAUCUCACUGCCACUUAAAUGUCAAUAAUAGUUUUCUUUUACACCAACACCACUUAAAAUUCCUUGAUCUCUCUCACAAUCAGUUGGUUGGCAAUUUCCCAACUUGGUUGUUGCAAAACAACACAGGAUUAGAAGUUUUGAUUUUGUGGAAUAACUCAUUCUCAGGAAUUCUUCCGCGACUUCCCAAUGCCAAAUACGAUAAGCUUCGUUAUCUAGAUAUUUCCACUAACAAUUUCUCUGGUAAGCUACCAGAGAAUUUGGGUAUUGUCUUUCAGAAAUUGAUAUAUUUGGAUAUGUCAAAAAAUAGUUUUGAAGGUAAUAUUCCUGAUUCAAUCAGUGAGAUGAAAGAGCUAAUUACUUUGGAUUUGUCUGAAAAUAAUUUUUCAGGAGAAUUACCUCAGUCUAUAUUCUCUAGUUGCCUCUCCUUAGAUAAGUUCGACCUAUCAAAUAACAAUUUCUAUGGCCAGCUUUUUCCCAAUUAUAUGAACUUGACUUAUUUGAGUUUGUUAUAUUCGAACAACAAUCAUUUCAGUGGGAAAAUGACAGAUGGUUUGUUGAGCUCCACUUUGCUAGAGGUAUUAGAUGUAUCCAACAACAAGUUAUCCGGCGAUAUUCCCCACUGGAUUGGCAACUUCUCACGCCUUCGGGUUCUUUUAAUGUCAGAAAAUUAUUUGCAAGGUAGUAUUCCGGUCCAGCUCGGCAAUCUUGAAAGUCUUGGGUUUAUAGACAUCUCUGAAAAUAGUUUGUCUGGGUCCUUGGUAUCUCUCUCCAAUCAUUCAUCAGUGGGGCACAUUUAUCUGCAUAACAAUGCAAUUAAUGGGUUAAUUCCAAUUGCAUUGCUUAGAAGCUCUACAUUAUUGACUCUCGAUUUGAGGGGCAAUAAACUUUUUGGUCAGAUUCCUCAUCAGAUCAAUGAGCUUUCGAAUUUGCGUGUUCUUCUUUUGAGAGGGAAUUAUCUACAAGGACGUAUUCCUAAUCAGUUGUGCCAAUUAAGAAAAUUAGGUAUCAUGGAUCUUUCACAUAACAGACUUAAUGGGCCGAUACCUUCAUGCUUGGGUAACGUGUCAUUUUGGAGAGAAGCGAUUGAUGAUUAUUCAUAUGGAUUCGGAUUUGCUAUCCCAAAUCGUGUUUUCAGUUUUACUUACUACAAUUCCACUCUUGAUCCGCAGCCGCGAGGUGAACGACAUGAUAGAGUAGAUCAACAAGUAGGUGUAGAAUUUGUGACGAAGUAUAGAUAUGAAUUUUUCAUCGGUCGCAAUCUCGACGACAUGGCUGGACUGGAUUUGUCGAGCAAUGAGUUCAGUGGAGAAAUUCCAUGGGAAAUUGGGCAUCUUCAACAUAUUCGUGCACUUAAUCUGUCGAAUAAUUUACUAUCAGGUGCUAUACCAGAGAGCUUCUCCAAUCUGAAAAUGAUAGAGAGCCUGGACCUUUCCCGCAACAAAUUAAGUGGCCGAAUUCCUCCUCAACUAACUGACCUCAACUUUUUAUCAAACUUCAACGUGUCAUACAACAAUUUGUCCGGCCCAAUCCCAGACAAAGAGCAGUUUGCCACCUUUGAUGACAGCAGUUAUAAAGGUAAUUCGGCUCUUUGUGGCUCAAUGAUAAAGAGGAAAUGCAGCAGUGCAUUGGCACCACCAGCGACACCUACAGGAGGAGGAGAAGAUGAAGGCGAUUCUGUGAUUGAUAUGGUGGCAUUAAGAUGGAGUUUUGGAGCAUCCUAUGUGUCAGUGAUUUUGGGCUUAUUUGCAGCACUUUGGAUAAACUCGUACUGGCGCAGACUGUGGUUCUAUUUCAUUGAUAGAUGUAUUGACACAUGCUACUAUUGGCUUUUCAAAUAUGUUUUCCAUCCGUGAUUGACACAUGCUACUAUUGGCACAUACGGUUCUGCCGUGUAUAACUUAUCGUGAUGUAUUAUGUAUCCGUUGGCUUUUCUCCAAACAGCUACGUAUCCAUGUAUGUGUUUGUUCAAAUUCUCAAUCUGGUUCCAAAACUACACUCAUGUUUCCAAUUUCGUUUAAUUGGUUGCAUUACGGCUUCUUCUUCAGUUUCUGUUGGUUGCAAAUUUAAAUUUAAUAAGGAAUUUUGCCAACUACUACGUUAGUUGUAAUAUCAUCAGUGCAGCAACUUCAACUGCAAAUUUAAGCUAUCAGUGGGUCAAUUCAACUCCAUUCCGAAUGUAUUGUUCACACGCACCAACCAAGUACCAAAUAAUUUGAGGCAUAAUUAACAACAAAUCUCAGUCUAAAACAUUAAAACCCAUUAUAGAAUAACAUCACAGAUCUCUUGAUGAGGAAAAUCGCCCAAUUAAUUUAUCAUUUAUUGAUCAAAACAAAAUCUCUUAACAAAACAAGAAACCGAUUUGUACAAAUAUUAUAUUAGAACAUCCAGAAAGGAUAUCUAAAAUGAUACAAUCAGGUAUUGAUUAAAACUUGCUCCAAAUUUUAACUAUUUUUGCAACGGUAACAUUCACUAACAAAUUUUUCGAAUAAAAUUGGGAGAAAUAGGACGGCACCUUUGCAUUUUAUUGCUUUGCUCUCUCUUUUAACGAACAGAAGCACAGAUGGAUUGAUGAUUGUACAUCUCAGUUACCCCAUUUGUGAUCUGCUGUCGGUUUCUUCUCCGUUUUCUGACAACUAUAAAUCCUUCACCAUCCCACUUUUUUGGUUUGCAUCUUUGGGUUUUUGCUGUUCUUGAUCAUUAGACUGAGAUGCCAAGUUUGUUUUGCCCUUUUCAUUUCCAUAAAGGAUCUUUAUGAUAGCACUAUCAUUUGCAAUUGCAUCUGAAGAAUUUUCUGAAUACCCAAUCUCCUUUUCAUAGCCUGAAGAUUGACUUGGAGCAUCCAUAUUAUGCUGGACUGACUUUACAAUGAAGCUAAGUAGUAUCUGUCUUGCCAGCUCUGACUUCUCGGCCUCUGUACUGCUCUUUCUUGAGGUAUUAUCUUCGCCUUGAAUACUGGACAUUUUGUCAAGCUUCUCAUCUUCUGCCUCACUUGUGUCAUUUGAAGAGUUUGACUCAUUUGAAACAUUUGAAUCUGCACUUCCAGGAUUUAUUUGCCAACCUCUCAUUGGCACAAACUCGGGUGCAUGCGGGUUCAUGAUUCUUGAAGGCCCCGACAGGUUUCUUUCCAUAAUGGAAGAGUGGUAUUUUGGAAAUCCAUGUUUCAUCAUGUAAGAAUAAUUAUUUCUAUAAUAGAGAGGCGACCUUGGCCCACAAGGAACUCUAGCAGCAGCCGAAGGUACAGCAGGUUCUGCAAGCAUACCUUGACUAGUUCUCGCAUCAUAAAUGCUCGUGGCUGCUACAGAGUUUAGCAGAUGAGUCAUGGAGACAGCUCCCGGGUUGAAUGGUUCAGCUGUGGCAGAAAGCUUACUCCCAUUUGUUUCCAUGGGCUUUUCCUCGUUAGAAGAAGCAGGAACUUCCUUGGUAUCUGCAGCAGUAGUUUCAGAUUGAGUUACACUUCCAUGAGUUUCUUGAGACUGACCAUCAACUGGCGCAUCUUCAACUGGAGAGAAAUGGUUAUUCAACUCCGCCUUUGAUGUCUCAGGAGCAUUACUGCACAUCUGUGUUUCAGUUUUUUCUUCAAUUUCUUCAUCAGGUUUCUCUGGUAAUGGCUUUAGAACCGUACCUGGUGGUGCCACAGCUACUUCUUUGUAAGACAGCAACUUGGAAGCCAUGGCAGUAAGGUUUGGUGGACUUGCAUAAACUUUGGAGACAGAAGCUUUUGCCUGCAGUUUAAUUGAAUCCUUUAUGCCUGUUAACUCAGUGGUGGUGGUCCUUGAAGCUUUUUCCCGUACUGGAGAUACAAUUUCCCGUCUAUUGCCUUUUUCUCUAAGAUUUGAAUGUUCACAACCAUUGACAUUUAGCUGUGUAAGAACAGGUCGCCUCCGGCUGAGCUUCCGAACAGCAGCAUUUCCGGACCUACCUUUUGGAUUGGCUUCUUGCCACCCCUCAUCUGAAUUUGUUUCUUCGACAAACUCACCUGAAAUUGCUGGUCCAUAUCUAGUAAUCAUUCUCUUCUGGCUCUUCGGGUUGAACACGGUCUUCUAUUACCUCCUCGGUCUUGCUUUCCACUAUAGCCAUACUUUUUUUCAAUCCAUCAUUGGGCAGUGCAUCUUCCACCAUCAUAUCAUGAUGUCCUCCAUGAAUCUUUUCCCUAAUCUGCAUUACCUGAAAAAAAUAAAUAAACCAAAAAAAGAAAACAAAACCUUUUUAACUUGUAUGCAUAUAAAAUGUCAAAAAUUGAGCAAAUAGAAAUAUUUCAUUUUAAGUUACAAUCAUCUUGUAAUUUUACAGUAGCAAAAUUUAUUACAACAAACCCAGACAUAACAUGAGGCAGAAUUCAGUGGAACAUAAAUGGGAAUUUGAUAUGUACAUGCCUGAAAUGUUGAAAAAAACACUCAGUGAGAAAUUAUGCUGAUAUAUAUUAUGUUAAACUAAUGAAAUUCUUCAGCCUUUUGAAUCAUGGAAUUCUCAAAAAAAAUAAUCACAGCGAAAUACUUUACUAUUGUCUUAAAUUGUCAACCAGGUAAUACUUCAAAUUAGCACAUAAUAAUCCUGUCUUUCUAAUAUGUAGUAUUAUUUGGUUCUCUAAGGCCUACAAAAUGGGGGGAAAAAAAAAAGGGAAAAACUCCAACUGCCAAAUCGAAAAAUGUUUUUCUAGAAUCAAUAAUAACAACCAUUAAAUAACAGUAGAAUGGAAGAACUCCAUCUCCUAGCCAAAAUGAUAGAUCUGUCAUAUCCAUCCAUUGCACUUCAAAUUAAUGGUUUCUUCUCACUCUGUUCAAGGUUACGGGGUAAAACAAAAACUAUCACUCGUUCUGCUCAUCAUCUCUGAAUUUCAAAAGAACUAGCAGCUUGACCAAGCAACCCUCCAUCAUUGCCUACUAACUAUCAGCUGGCCCAAUCUAUGGCCAUCAAUAGAUCAGAACCUUCUAAAGUUUCAAUCAUGUCUGUGAUCUAUAUAAGCAUGUUAGAUUUCUUUUUGUUGUUGUGGGGGGGGGGAGUGUGAUUCUAUGGUAGAAAUGGAUGUUUAUAUUUGGUGCCUUCAGAGUUCACUCAGAAAAGUAGAACUAUUAUCCAGCAAUAGUUAGUUGCAUUUUGCAUGGACAACAAGUUUACUCGUGUAAUCAGCAAAUCCAAAACUAUAUGCCAGCAGAGUGUACUCUAAAAUACCAAAUCCUAACUACAAUUAGUUUAAGAAUCCAUUCAGAUGGACAUCACAAGAAAAAAGGAACAGAGAACAGCAGCAUGCUUAAUGCUUCAUUUCACAUAGCUUUUCAAAUAGAUCUUAUCUGAGUAGAGUUCUGCUAGUAAAGUUUUUACUCAAAAAAAUUGUGUUGUUUGGUUGUCAAUAAGAGCUUUUAUUAAAAAUUAUAAAAUUACUUUAAUAAGCAAAUUUUUUAAAGUUAUGUUUUGAAAAGAAUAAAAUAAGAUUGUCAUAUAAAUAGAGAAUAUUUUAGAUAUUUUAACAUUUAAAAAAAUUUAACCUAUAUUCUCAAAAGCACAAAAUUUGAGUUUUUUGUAGUAGAGGCAAAAUAGUUUAUUUAAUUUUCAAGAGCUCUACUAAAAAAACAAUUAAACAACAAAAAAUUUUUUGAUAAGAGCUUAUAGGAUUAAAUAAAAAUUUAAGACCAUUAGAUAAGUCAUACUAAACAGGCACCAAGUAUGUACUACCUUUGCAUGUCGUUGUUUCCUAUGUGCUUCACUUCUUUUAGAAUCUUGACCAGGACUUAUGUAAUCCAGGAGAUCUGAUACACUGCGAAAAGAGAUCAUUAUAGGUCUUGGUGCCACAAGAAAUAAUCAACAAUUUAGAAACAAGUAAUGUGGGAAUACCCUGUUAAUACCUAAGGUGACCUUUACUCGCAAUGGACACAUCUGGCUUUGGAGUUCCAUUCCGUGCCGCUUCUUGCUGCUCUAGAGCUCUUGAUUCAAAAUACUCCAGCCAUGCAGCAGCAUCCUGUAAAACAAAAAACAAAAUACAACAAAAUAACAAAAAUCUCUUCCCAUCAAUAAUAUGGAACUUGAGAAAUUCUCUUAUGACAGUUAAGAUUAGAGGUAGCAAAAUGGAUUACGACACAAUUACACAACAUAAUACGACAUAUGACCCAUAUUUGUGUUAACAAAUAUUGACACGAUUAAUAAAUGAGUUGACACGACACGAUAAAUAACCAUGUCGUAUCUGUUUUGGACCAUCUCAACAUGAUUAUACGUUUAUAAAAUUAUGUGUUAAUAUUAUUGGAAAAAAAAAACUAAAAUAUAUACUAAUCACUAAAUUAAUGACUCAUGUCAUACUCAUAUUAUGUUAUAAACUUAUUCAUGUCAUACUUAUGUCAUUUUAACUUAUUUUUUUGACACAUUUGUUAUUUUUAAAUUAAUUUUUAAUUUGUUUGUAUUUAAUAUUAAACAAGUCAACACGAUUAAUAAACGGGUCAUAUCCGUAUUUUGAUAUUUCGAUACGAUUAAUGAAUGGGUCAUAUCCAUACUUAACACCAAAAUAGGCCGCCGAUACAAUAUGUUUUAUAUCAUAAUAUCACCUGUAAAAGAUUGACAAGAGAGAAGCCAACUAGCCAAAUUGCACAACAGAACCAAUUAAAAUAUGACUACAUGUAGUCACCUGAGUACGCAGAUCUUCUAGUCCAAGCUUUGGUUGGAGAAUCUUAAGUGUAGUUUGCUCAUGUUGCACACUUAGUGAAUAUGCCUCCAUCAAAGAAAGCUAUGGCUAUGGCAUGAUAACUUGCAGCUGUCUGUCACGUGAAGAAAUCAAACAAAAUGCUGAGUUUACAGAAAGAUAUAUAAGUCUAAAGAGUGUGUAUACAUGCGUAAAUAGAGAGAGAAAAACCUGUAUAUGGUCACCUCCUAAUAGUCUUUGGUUGCAUUUAAGGGCCUCAUGCAAAUAUCUAAGAGAAAGAUGAACAUUUCCCAUGCCCUCUUCCAUCAUAGCCACAUUUAUGUAUGUUGUAGCAGUGUUUGGAUGUGAAUGUCCACAAGUAAAAUGCAAAAGGAAUAAGGCACGAUUUACAUAUCUGCCAAUAGUAUGGUAUGAUCAGGAGCUAGAGCCAAUAAAAGACAAAUAAAAGCUAAAGUAGGUAGAUAAAAACUGCAUUAGUUCAAAGCAGAUUCAAUACAAAGGUCACAUUUUUGGAAACUUCCAAUUUAAUUUAUGAAUAAAUAAACCUUAAUCAGUUAAAGAAUGAAAACAAAGUUGCUCCGGUAAAUCAAGUAGUGCUACUCACUUAAGAGCCAAUUCAAUGUGUUGAAGGCGAUAAUAGAAAAUUGAAAGAUCCCCGUAGCUUUUCAUUGUAUCUGGGUGGUCAAGACCAAGUUCCCUCUCAUUAAUAUCCAAUGCCUUCUGCUGAUAUAUAGUUGCCUAAAAUGAAGAAGAAGAUAUCUUGAGUACAUACGAACACUACUCUAACACUCAGACGCAGAUGCCAUUAGACGAAAUGCCGGAACAUAAGAAUCAUGAACGUGUUUGAUUUAGUUAAAAUAUAUAAUCUGAUAUCAAAAUUAUGCUAAUGCCUGUACAUGUAAUUCCUAAGUCCAGAAAAUUAUAAUUCCUAAUGCAUAUCUUUAUACAAGACCAUAAAAACUAACCAUAACACAAAAAUUCAAAUCAAAUGUCCCGAUGAAUGAGAACCUCCGUACAGAAGGAUGUUAUAAUUAUACUAGACUUGGAAUCACCAAGUUAACACUGAAAUACAACUGAGGAUUGUCAUACCUGAUUAAAGUCUCCAGUAUGGUAGAGAACUACAGCUAGAAGACUGUAAGCACUUGCAGUAGUCCGAUGGUAGGGACCACAAACAGCUAUCAUCCUUGCCAGUGCCUUACAAGUAAUACAUCAUAUGAGAUCAAGAGAUGCCUUAUUAUGAAAAGAAUAAUGUAAUUCUUACGUAUAGAUCGAGUGGGUUAUUACCUUUGUCCCAUAAUUUACAGCAUCUUCUAGUUUUCCUUUAUCAAGGGCAAUUUUGGAUGACUCUAAUAAGGUCCGUCCAUCGGCUGAAGUGCAACCUACAUGCUGUAGAAUGCCAUAAAAAUAGCACAAUUCCAUUCAAUUUACAAAUGAGUGACUCAUUGAGAAUGUAAAAACUAAAUCAAAACACAAUUAAGAGAGAAAAUAGUCUCACCUUGCACACAGGAACCAUGCUGACAAUAUCAUCUCUCGUGAAUGGGUUUGGGCAUUCCAUAUCAUAAUCUCUGGGAACCAACACCAACCCAACCUGGGUGAAGUUUAGAAGCAAAAUUCAAGCUUUGAAAAUAAUCGGCUGCCAAAGGAACCGAAAAGACAGUACCUUAUAUGGCAAAGCCCACGUAGAAUUGAAAUCUUUCUCAAAUGCUGAAACUCAUCUUUCAGGGACCAACCAAAUCUUCUGCCAAGAAAUGUUCGUAGUCACUGCAAUCUGAGGAUAUGAUCUUCAUUCAAGCUUUGGUCAUCUUCCAUCUCACAACAGCCAAAUAAGAAAUUUAGGGAAGAAGCUAUAGCUGCAGAUAGGUCUGAUAAAUAGUCAACAGAUGCGAUGACUCCUUUAAGUACAUGCUUGAACGCUCGAGUAACCAUCUCAUGAAUACAAAGUGAUUGUAUGUGAGGAAGCUUCUCUGCAAGUUCAACCUGAUUUUGUAAAUGGGAUUAGAACCAACAGAAGAAGAAUACCAGGCUUUCAAGUAUUAGCAUGUCAAUUUCUCAAAAUAUUGUAUGUCAUACAACAUACAGUAAUAUCUAAAGACGACAAUAAUUCAAUGUCUUGGAAAAGGUCAACAAUGUCAAAAAUUCUAUCAUGUAGUACAAUUUUCAAAAAGGAACAUUGAUAAUUCAAUCCAGGAAGACUUGGGGGGAUUGUUUACAUAUAGAAAGAUAACUUGGGGGCUUUGCUUACAUAAAGAAAGACAACAUUUGCUUAUUCUGAUUUCCAUGGGUGAAUAGGUUGCAUGUCUGAGAGAGAAAGAGAGGGAGAAAUUCCUCACCACGCGACCUAAAGAGCGCAUUUGUAGUCCCCUUAAAUGCAUAAAGUCUGUCAGUGUGCGGCCAUCAACCGGAGAAAGUUCAAGUGAUCCAAAGUCUGUUACCUAAUAAAGAAUGGAAAUUAGUCCAUAAACCAUCCCCACACGUCUAAAUUGGCUGCAACAAAGGCCCUAAAUAAAUUAAAUAGUACCAGCUUUGGUAAAGCAAUGUCAUCAUAAUACUUGUAUGCCAUUUUCAUAAGCUCAUCCACUACCUGCACAAGAAAUUAAUUUUACCAGUCAUUCCAUAUGAAAAUAAAACAAACCAAAUUUAGCGUAAUGAAAACACAAAAAGUAGCAAACUUUACAGUUGAAAUACAAAACAAAUUUGAGAUUCUGAAACCUUUGAAUGAAGACCAGUGCCAGUUUCUUUAAAUCGCAAGAAGGAUUCUUCAGAAAUUAGUUUUUUCAAUUCCAUCUCACAAUUCAGCUCGCCAUUGCUUUGCUGUCUACCAUUACCUCCCACAUUCAUGCUGGACGGUCCAUUGUCAUUUUCGUUAGCCUCAUUAAUGCUACCAACAAGGUUAGGCCUGUUCUCCCUCUUCUUCAAAAAUUUAAAUUGCUUCCCAAGACCUUUGACAGCAUGUUCAGUCUUAAUAUCAUCCCCAGACCUCGUUGACUUGGUAUCUGUUGGAGUUUCCUGCUUUUGUAGAUGCUGCACCCAACAAGAACCAAGUUCCCAUCUAAUAGAUCUUUCUGAAGCAGUUGGCUCCAGCUCUAACUUUGCUAAACUCUGUUUAAUAACUCUUCUUACAAGACUUCUAAAAGCUUCUGAAUUAUCCAAAUUGCACAGAGGUGACUGGUCUCCUCUAGCCGAUUCAGCACUGAAAGACUUCUGAAGCACAAGCCUUAAGCUGCAAUAAAUAGUUUACCCUGUCAGAACAACUUACAUGGAGAAAGACAUAAGAUUAUAUGAAACAAAGGCAGAAUCCACCAAAGAAGGCCUAAAUACUUUCUGAAAUAGCACAAUCUAAAAAGCUGAUGACCUAUUUCAGCAACUGAGCAUGCACUGUAAUUAUACUUUCCUUUAUCCUUUAUUUGAACAUCAUCAACGAUGUCUGUUGGUUAUUUUGUUAAUAUAACAAUUACAAACCAAUGUCAGGGCACAUAACUAUAAACACUCAUCCAUUAUUGUGAAAGCCAUGACUUAAUGUUUCCUGCAACCACUCGUUAUUAUUUAGGUGGUCUACAACUAUGCAGAGGUGAAGCAUCCCCAUACAGUGAAGGAUCUCACACAUAUUUUAAUAGAGGAAAAGCCAUUUUCUGGUCGACAGGAUGCUGAAAGAGGAGUAUAUAUCCCUAACUAGAUAUCAGCUUUCUUUUCUUUGGCCUAUUCAUAAACUUAACACUUGAAGAAAACCUGGUUUAGAAAUCUGACAUCAACUCCCCUUAAGAGUUCAGACAUCUACUGAUUAGAUCCCAUCUAAACAGAAAGAAAAAGGAGCAGGUGCUAUCCUUUCUUAAGAAUCCCCAACACCACCAUUUCAAUCCUGUUCUAUCUGGUAAAAAUAAAGAGAAUAACAAUGCUCUGCAUCAUGAAUUCAACUGUGAUAGACACUAAGCAAAGAAGCUCAUACCAAUUAGUAUGUCUAAGAUAUCUUGCAGAAUAGCUUAAAACUGUUAGUGGUUGAAAGAUAAUUUUUCAUAUCUUACAGCCAUUCUCCAUCUGUAGAUUUCCUAGUCUUUGUGUGCUAAGAGAAAUCGACAGAGGAAGCAUUGUGUUACAAUUUCAAACCUGUUAAUAUUAAGAGAAUUAGCUCCUCCAUCAGGUUGAUCUUCAAUUUCAAUAUCUUGUGUGCCAAACUUCUCCUUCACAUCACCAACAACCUUUACUACAGCGGUGUAUCCACAGUGUCUUACAAUGACAGUACCCAAUGAGGAGGAUUCCUGCCAAAAACUAUAUUGUUUCAGUUCUCUUUAUCACAAAAUCUUUGAAACUAAAAUAAAAGAAACGGAAAAAGAAAAGGAAGAUAAAUCUAGAUAUUUUGAGAAAAAUAAAUCUGGAUAAUUCAAGAAAGUUUUAUUUCAAGAUCUACCAUGCUGAAAACUUUAGCAAUUGCACCACUAGUUGAUAUAAUACAAGCAUGCCCAACCAAGGUUAAUAGGCUUCCCCAAGACAUUAAGCUGGAGCAAACUACGAGCAGAAAAUCAGAGGGAUAUGGAUAAAAUCAGUAGAAAGACCUGCUAUCAAGUGAUUUCAACAGAAUAGGGAGUCACCAAACAGAAAGGCAACAUAAGAUUCAUGAAGCUAAACCAGAUAUUUAAGGUUAGUAACGAGUAGUGAUUCUCAGGAAAGAACCUAAAAUUGACUUUCUUGUGCAUUCAUAAAUGUGUAGAAAGAGAGAGUGAAGAGGAUGGGUAUUUUAGGCCAUCAUCAAAUGCCAGAUAUCAGAUAAAGAGGGAAACAUCUUAAUCCGACUGAAAAAUCACUCCCUGACAAAGGUAGAGCUAUAUUAUUCCGCCCACACAAGUAAUUUCGGCUUUGAUGAAUGUCUUUUAUGUGUGUGUUCUGUGAACAUAAGCAUAAAAAGUAAAGGAGAAAUCGACUUACGUGAACAACUACACUCUCAUCUGCAGUAACACCUUUUAGUAAAUUCCUUUGAGCAACUUAUGCAGCAGACAUACCAGAUGACUGAUUUCCUUUAAUAGUAACCUCAGACAUCAAGCUUGCAUCUACUGUAUCAUGUUUUACUGUAAUGGACAAGUCUCCCACAAGAUCUUCAUGCAAGAUUGCCCCCUUUUGGACAUUGAUUGUAUCUUGAGUGUGUAAAUUUGAAUCAAUGAGACGGCAUAUUGCUCCAACAGCUUUCAAAAUUGAGACAUCAACAAAUUGCUUAUUGUUGAAAAUAAAGAUUUAAAGUUAGGAUUUAUUUGUAAUCUAGGCUAUUUUAGGAAUAAUUUAAAUUAUAAUGGGAAGAUUCAUUAGGAUUCUUUCCAGAUUUUAUUUCUUAUUAUUUAGGAAAGGAUAGAUGUAGUCUCCUAUUUUCUCUCCUAUUUUGCUGUAUAUAUUCCCUGUACAUACUGUUCUGGAAAGUAAGAAAAAGAGGAACCAAUUCACGGUUUUCUUCAUGGUAUCAGAGCUAGGCUCUAAACCCUAGUUCUCCUAUCAGCCGCCAUUUCCUUCUUCUCCUCUACCACCUCUUUUCAACAGUAUCCACCUUCCUUCCUCUCCCAUCAGUUGUAUUCUCUGUGGCAAAAUAUGGGAUGGCUUCUUCAUCAACCUCCGUUACAAUAUCACAGUCUAAAGGAAACAUGGAGACUGCAACUCAUGGUGGAAUUGAUUCUUCACCAAUCUUAAUUACCAGCCAUAAAUUGAACGGCCACAAUUAUCUCUAGUGGUCACAAUCUGUCAUGAUGUUCAUCUGUGGCAAGGGUAAGGAUGAUUAUCUCACGGGUGAAGCGGCCAUGCCAGAGGUGUCAGAUCCUAGUUUCAAAAGGUGGAAGUCAGAAAACAACAUGAUCAUGUCAUGGCUUAUCAAUUCCAUGAACAAUGAUAUUGGUGAGAAUUUUCUUCUGUUUGGGACUGCAAAGGACAUAUGGGAUGCUGCAAAGGAAACCUAUUCUAGCUCUGAGAACACAUCAGAGUUAUUCCAGAUUGAAACCAUCCUCCAUGACUUCCGCCAAGGAGAACAAUCUGUCACUCAGUACUUUAAUACUCUGACUAGGCAUUGGCAACACCUUGAUCUAUUUGAAACAUACCCUUGGAAGUGCACCGACGAUACAACCUUGUACAAGAAGAUUGUGGAACAGAAGAGAACAUUUAAAUUUCUCCUUGGACUCAAUAAAGAUCUUGAUCAGGUUAGGAGCCGUGUACUCGGGACAAAGCCUUUACCGCGCCCUCGUGAAGCCUUUUCUGAAGUUAGGCGUGAAGAAAGUAGGAAAAAGGAGAUGAUGGGGUCAUCAGAACCAACACUGGACGCCUCUGCACUUGCUGCCCGUGCAUCCAACUCUGUAGGGGUUAGUGAAAAUCGUACAAAGAAAGAAAGACCAUGGUGCGAUCACUGUCGUAAGGCAGGCCACUAUAAGGAGAGUUGCUGGAAAAUUUAUGGCAAACCUGCUGAUUGGAAACCUCGUUCCAAAGGUGACCGUGAAUCUCGUGCUCAUACAGCAUCCACCACGGACAAUCAGGCCCUACCCGAGCCAAAUCCAUUCAGCAAGGAGCAAAUGGAGAUUCUUCAAAAGCUUUUCGAUCAAGCCACUUUGAACUCCAAUGCAGGGACAAGUCUAGUGGCUCAGAAAGAGACUCAUUCAGCAUUUGCAGCCACUAAUGGAGCAAGCAAACCCUGGAUAAUUGACAUUGGUGCUUCUGAUCACAUGACUGGAGAUGCCUCAAUGUUGCAGGAUUAUAAAGCUAGCAUCAACAGCACUUCAGUCCGGAUCGCAGAUGGCUCUCACACAAAAAUAGCAGGGACAGGUUCCAUCAGACUCACUAAGGAGUUAUACCUUAAUUCUGUACUUUAUGUGCCUAAUUUGGCUUGCAAUUUACUUUCAAUCAGUAAAUUCACUCGUGAUCAGAAUUGUGUAACUAAAUUCUAUCCAAAUAUGUGUGUUUUUCAGGACUUGGAUUCGGGGAAGACGAUUGGCAGUGCUGAGCUAUGUUCUGGACUCUAUCUACUCAAAAGCAAUCAAUCCUCCUUCAUACAAGAUUCGAGAGCAAACUAUGCCAAGUCCAAUAGUCUGUCAACUAGUUAUCCUCAUUCUAUUGUUAGUCCAAAUGUCAAUAACGAUAGUGAAAUUGUUCUGUUACACUAUCGAUUAGGUCAUCCUAGUUUCAUGUAUCUCGCAAAAUUUUUUCCCAAUCUAUUCAUUAAUAAAAACCCUUUAUCCUUUCAUUGUGAAAUUUGUCAAUUUGCAAAACAUACUCGAAAUGUUUAUUCAAGUGUUAAGUAUAAGCCUUCUCGUCCAUUUGCUUUAAUUCACAGUGAUGUGUGGGGUCCCUCAAGAAUUAAAAAUGUUUCUAGGGCUCACUAGUUUUUGUCAUUUGUAGAUGAUCAUACUCGUCUCACUUGGGUGUUUCUCAUGAAAAAUAAAUCUGAAGUUAGUCAAAUCUUCCAAAACUUUAACGCCAUGAUUCAAACCCAAUUCAAUACCAAAAUCCAAGUCCUUAAAACCGACAACGUCAAGGAAUAUUUCAAAGACUCCCUCAGGUCAUAUCUUCUCCAUCAAGGCAUUCUUCACAUCAGUUCUUGUGUUGACACCCCGCAACAAAAUGGGGUCGCUGAAUGCAAAAACAGACACCUUCUUGAAGUGGCUCGCUGUCUUUUGUUCUCGUCUCAUGUUCCUAAUUUUUUCUGGGGUGAAGCUGUUCUCACUGCAGCCUACUUAAUCAACCGAAUGCCUUCUAGAGUCUUGGGGUUUCAUUGCCUAAGAAAAGUUCUUCUCAAUUUCUUUCCACACACUAGGAUUGUUUCAGCAGAUUUACCACAAAAAAUAUUCGGUUGCACAGCAUAUGUCCAUGUUCACUCUCAACACAGGACCAAACUUGAUCCCCGAUCUCUCAAGUGUAUAUUUUUGGGCUAUUCUCCACUUAAAAAAGGAUACAAAUGCUAUUCUCCUCACACCAGGAAAAUAUACAUUUGCAGAGAUGUAACAUUUGUUGAAAACCUGCCUUUCUAUUCCAAAACUGAUGUUCAGGGAGAGAGUACGAGCGAACAUCAGCCUUGGGAAUCUUCUUGGCAAUCUUGGCUGGAAACCCCUCAUGAAAACCCUCAUAACUCAACCACCACACAUGAUCAAUCUAUCCAACAGCCACAAUCAGCAAUCCUUCCAACAUCUUCACAGCUUUUUGAGUCAUCUGAGUCCUCCCAACCACAAUCAACCGAGUCACCCCGUCAUCCAUCAGCUCAUCAACUACAGCCUCUAAUCUCACCUAUUCCACAGCUUGCUGUUGAUAAUCUCAAUGUUUAUAGGAGGAGAAGAACUGGAGAGCAGAUAGAGCACGGAACUCAGCCAUAUGUCCAAGAAACUGAACCAAAUCCAAGCUCUUGUGAAGACAACACAGGUAUGGAUAGUCUUGCCUCGGUUGAGUUCAUGGUUCCAAGUGUUGAUAAUUCUAAUAAAUCAAUUGCAGAAAGAAAAGGGGUUCGAAGUUGCACCACUCAUCCAAUUGCCAAAUAUGUCUCAUAUGAUGGUUUGUCCUCAUCAUACCAAGCCUUUGUUUCUUCUUUAGAUAAUCUACAUGUUCCCAACAAUAUACAAGAGGCUCUCGGUCAUCCUGAGUGGAAGAGAGCUGUUCAUGAAGAAAUAAAUGCUCUUGAGAAAAAUGAUACAUGGGUUAUAACAGAUCUUCCUGCAGGGAAACGACCAGUUGGAUGUAAGUGGAUUUUUACUGUUAAAUACAAGGCAGAUGGAAGUGUUGAGAGGCUCAAAGCUCGUCUUGUAGCUAAAGGGUUCACACAGUCAUAUGGGAUUGAUUAUCUAGAAACCUUUGCUCCGGUUGCGAAGCUCAACACCAUCAGAAUCUUGCUCUCCUUAACAGUAAAUCUAGAUUGGUACUUAUACCAACUAGAUAUAAAAAAUGCGUUUCUCAAUGGCGAUCUUGAAGAAGAAGUGUUUAUGGAAGUUCCCCAGGGUCUUGAUCUGAAUCUUACUGGAAAUAAAGUGUGCAAGCUCAAGAAAUCUUGUAUGGGCUUAAGCAAUCCCCUCGAGCAUGGUUUGAUAGAUUUGCGAAGGCAGUUGUGAGACUUGGUUACACUCAGUGUCAGGCAGAUCACACUCUAUUCCUCCGAACAUCACAAGCAAAGAAGAUCUCUCUCCUAAUCGUAUAUGUUGAUGACAUCAUUCUCUCAGGAAAUGAUGAGGAAGAACUGCAGAAGUUGAAGAAACAGCUAGCUCAGGAAUUCGAAGUUAAAGAUCUAGGGAAUCUGAAAUAUUUUCUUGGGAUGGAGGUGGCAAGAUCUAGAAAGGGAAUUGUUGUCUCCCAGAGGAAAUACACCCUGGACCUACUAAAGGAGACUGGUAUGAUUGGGUGCAAACCAGUAGAUACUCCUAUGGAUCCCUACAAGAAACUAGGCACAGUUGAGAAUAGUGUUCCAGUCAAUAGGGGGAGAUAUCAAAGGCUGGUUGGUCGUUUAAUCUAUCUCUCACAUACCCGUCCGGACAUAGGCUUUGCUGUUAAUGCUGUGAGCCAAUUCAUGCACAAUCCUACAGAGGAACACAUGGAUACAGUCUUUAGAAUUCUGAAGUAUCUGAAGAUGACACCUGGAAAAGGAUUGUUUUUCAAGAAAUCAGAAUAUAGGAAUAUUGAGAUCUACUCCGAUGCAGACUGGGCUGGAGACGUCACAAAUAGAAGAUCAACAUUUGCUUACUGUUCCUAUGUCUGGGGAAAUCUAGUAACCUGGAGGAGUAAGAAACAAUCUGUUGUAGCUAGGAGUAGUACAGAAGCAGAGUUCAGAGCUUUGGCAAAUGGAAUCUGUGAAGGAAUUUGGAUAAAGCGUGUACUCAAGGAACUCGGUGUGUGCAGCCCUUCAUCCAUUCUAAUGAGAUGUGACAAUCAAGCAGCAAUCAGCAUCGCUAAAAACCCAGUGCAUCAUGAUCGAACCAAACAUGUCGAGAUUGAUAGGCACUUCAUCUCAGAGAAGGUCACUAGUGGAAGUGUGGAAUUAAAGUACAUUCCAACUAGACAACAAAUUGCAGACAUCCUUACUAAAGCACUGCCAAGACCUAACUUUGAAGACUUAAGUAACAAGCUGGGUUUGUAUGAUAUACACACACCAGCUUGAGGGGGAGUGUUGAAAAUAAAGAUUCAAAGUUAGGAUUUAUUUGUAAUCUAGGCUAUUUUAGGAAUAAGUUAAAUUAUAAUGGGAAGAUUCAUUAGGAUUCUUUCCAGAUUUUGUUUCUUAUUAUUUAGGAAAUGAUAGAUGUAGUCUCCUAUUUUCUCUCCUAUUUUGCUGUAUAUAUUCCCUGUACAUACUGUUCUGGAAAGUAAGAAAAAGAGGAACCAAUUCACGGUUUUCUUCACUUAUGAAGCAAAAAGGCCUUCCGAUCUCUAACCACCCUCUCCUCUUUAGUUUUGCAAGAAAGCCUAGCCAGUAUAGCAAAUUCCGUCACCCAUGGUCGUAAAUCAUGUUCUCCAUCUCUUCCCUGGCCUCCGCCAUUGCCACCCCAAUUCUCAUCUUCUGCCGGUAGGCAUGGGAAAUUUGAUGGAGACUCAGCAACAGAUGGAGGUACAAGCCAUGUAUUAGCUCGAAAUCCAUAGGGAAGAUUACCAAACUGAAGAAGGAUAUUGAAUAUACUAUAUCAGUAAAAUCAAGUUAAAAUCACAUUUGAAUUGGUAAUCAACUAUGUCAGCAUAGAAAUUGUUACCUUAUUAUGUUCAACAAAAGCUUUCAUUAGGGAUUCAUAUGCCUGCAUCACGCAUAAUGACCAUAAUUAUUAACAAAACAAUUGAUGGGUAAGCUAAUUGAAUUUACAAAGGAAAAAAAGAUGCAUUCAGAUAAAAAAGAAAAAGAAAAUCUGUAGAUUCAACUAUUGAGUACCCACAUUGGCAAAAGCUCGACUGAGAUUUUGCAGAAGAUCCACCAGGGAGUUGCUUUGGAAACCUGCUUUCCCAAAGUAUAGAACCCUUUUACUGAUGCAACUACUUGUAUAAGCUUUCCAUUGCAGAUUUUUAUCUGUGAAAAUAAUUCAUGCAUUCUUAUUAAUUAGCAGACAAUGAUUAUUAAAUCUUUAACACUCAUUGGCCAAUUCAUCAGCAAAAAUAAUGAGUUGAAUAACUCUACAAUUAAUUAGUCCUUAAACAACAAACAACAAUAAUCAGAACUUUAUAUUAAAUGGCACCUGAAUUUCAAAAUAAUCACGGUCGCGCUUCUCUCCUUCUUUGCGUUCACAUUUUCUCAAAUCUUCAAAAUCAAAAUUAUUAAAAAUUAAAAUCAAUAAAAAAAUUUCAUAUUCAAAUAAAUCAUAUAUAUUUAUUUCAUUUUCCUCUUUUUUUUUUUUUAAUCGACCAUGUAAAAAACGAAGACAAAUAAAUAAUUGGACAUUAGGCUUACUCAAGAUGGGGGGAGCGAGGUGAGAGAAAGAGAAGAAGUCAGAAAACUCGGAGGGUUUCGGCGCCGGGUGAAUGACCGCCAUGUCCAGACUCAGAGAAACCGCCGAUGAAACUGGCGAUGACGUGGCGCGGGGCCCGCUUCGGUUAUCUGCUGCUGCUGUUGCUGCUCCAUCAGACAGAGCGGCAAAGUUUGGUGAACGCGGGUGGGGCCUACUGCCGUUCUUUUUGGCACAUGACUCUGACGGUGGCGGCAAUCGGGAGUUUCUGGACUUGGAGAACCAUGUGGUGCACGCGACGACGUCGAGAAGCUGCCGCACGUGUGCCACGGCCUGAGAUUCCUCGGUGUAUUCCUCUGCGAAGGACAGUGCCAAAAAUGUAAAUAACAAGGAAUUGCCGGGCAAAGUUUUUUUUCUUUUAUUAUUUUAGUUCUUUCUAUUAAAUAUUAACUUAAUUAUAAGUAGAAAAUAAUUAUAGCACUAAACUAUUAUUUUCUUUUAUUAUCUUAGCACUAAACUAUUCGUCAAACUUAUUUUUGAAAAUAAUUUUUUUAUAAUUAAAAUACUUCUAGAUUAAAUUUUAAUUAUAAGCACUAAAAAAUGAGAAAAAAAAAUAAAAUUUUCACUCUUUAAACAAGCCUUUACAUAUAAUUUUGUUAAACUCUAAUCAUAUUAAUUAUUCAUGAUAAAGUUACUAAUUCUAAAAUAAUACACUUCUGUAAACCUUCUUGCUCUGUUUACAUGUCUGCCAACUAAUUUUUUUAAUAGAUUAAAAUUUACGGUUGGUUGAAAAUUAGGGAAAUUUACACCAAUAACUAUAAAAGUUUUGACUUUUUCCAUCUUAACCCCCCAAACAAAUUUCUAUCAACAAUAGCCAUAAAAGAACCUUUGAGACCAAAAUACCUCUUUCUCUCAUUUCUCCCCCAACACUCUCUUUCACCCAUCUCUCCCAAACCGAAGAAACUCUCAUCAUCGGUGGCAACAUCAGCCCUCCUCGGCAGCGGCUCCAUCCCUCAUCGGUGUCCGAUCUACCAUCUACAGCCUUCAACAAAACCUAGGUUAGCCAUUUUACUUAUUUUCAUUAAUUUAAAAUGAAAUUUCAUAAUCUAUAUAAUUUAAAAAAAAAAAGAGAGAUAAUAAAAUAUAUAUACCUCGUGAGAGAGAGAAUAAUUUGUGAGGUGGCAAGUUUCUACAUUGGAAGCCAACAAUUUUUUCACAUCAAGUAUCUUGUCAGUGGAGAUGCCCUUUGAGCAAAUUUUAAUUAAAAAAAAAAAGAUGAUUAAUUAAUAAUUCAUUUAUAUUUAUAAAGUUUUAAAAAAUAAUAUGCUAAUCAUAGCUGGGGAGGGCAAAACAAGAAAGUAUUAAUGAUAAGUAUAAAUGUAUACCUUGAGAACAACUUGUGAUUCAUAUGGGGUGAUGAUUGCGAUAUCAAGAACACUGGGUACUACUGCACAACAAAAAAAUAUCAAUGAACAUAACGAAGCUAUGGAGCAUAAGCACAAUCAAACAUGCAGGCUAAAAAUAAUUGAAUAAAUAUAUGUAAUAUGCAGGCUAAAAAUAAUUGAUGGUGUUGUGGAAGUUUGAAUUCAUAGAUUUACAGCUCGGUCUAAAUGUUCAUUAAGUAUAAUUUAAAAAUCAGCAUUGUAUCUAUUGUUACUAAUGUUUGAAUAAAUAUAUGUAUCCUUUUAUCAAAAAUGGAUUAUAAAGAGCUUUGAUGGAGAUUGUUAGGGAGAAACUCUUGUGGAGCCAACACGCGAGGAUCCAAUGGAUCGCACAGCGGCAUCAACGAAUUUUUCAUUUAAAAAAUAUAUAAAAUUACAUUAUUUUAAUUUAUAAAUCCCAUCAGACCUGCCAAAUUAAUGUGCAGGCGCGCGCCUCCUCAACCUUUUCUCGGAUUGUUGGGGACUGCAGACUGCAGCUCACGGUUGAAUUUUCCCCGUAGCGUUCUUGACGUACGCCAAUAUUUUAAUCAGCUUUAACUUUAAGCCUCUGUUUUAUAAAAAUUAUUUCACCAGCAGAUUACAUGUAUUUUGGCAAGUUUACAUUGUGAAAGAAAGAUGUAUUCAAAAGGCACAAAUUGUUUAUUCGUUAUGGUCGUGAUUUGGUGGGCGAAUCUACUGUAAAGCCUUGUAUUCAUUUACCUGAUUACGGUCAUCAGUAUCUUUUACUUAUUCGUUCACUUUUCCUUUCGUUAGUUAUUGCAGAAACGCGUUUGAGUAGCUAUUAAAAUUAUGGUGAUCACGUGAGCUGCGGAAAAAAAAAAAAUGGUCGUGGCAAUGAACAAGUACAAAGAAAAGAAAUGGGAUUUGAAAACAACUCUCACUAUCCGGCUGAGACGCCGCAAUUUCCUUAUGCAGUAAAUGUUGUUGUACGUUCACAAGUGAAGUGUGAAGCUAACAUUUCACUUUGCCAAUAGCCAUGCACGUCAAACUAACCAAUUAAUUUGCAUCUUCAGUUAUUUCUUUGGUCGGUACUAAAGUCAAACUUAUUUUACCACAAUAUUCAAGUCAAUAUUUCAACAUUCUUUUCUCUCUUUCAUCUGGUCAAAUAUUUUAAUUCACUCGUAUCUUGCUAAAGCAGAUGUAAUAUUCUCACUUACUUUGUUUAAAACUAGCUAGAUAUACGAUAGCAACUUAUUUGAAUGAUGUGCUAGAAAUCCAUCCAAGUGAAACUUAGGGUGCGUUUGGGAUUGAGGUUGGGCAGCUGUAGCUUAAAAGCUACAGCACUAAAGUGUUUGGUAAACACUAGCUGUUGUAGCUUUUAACCUAUGUUGAUAUAAUUUUUCACUUGUAUAAUAUAAAAUUUAUUAUAUCUUUAAUAAUUUUGAUAAAAUUAUUAUUUAAAAUUUAUAUUUACUAUAUAUUAUUAACUUUUAUUUCAUAAUUACAGCUUUUUUUUCACAGCAGCUGUAGCUUAAAAGCUAUAACACCUCAAUCCCAAACACACCCUUAAAGGAGACAAUCCAACAUGCAGGCUCUAAAACUAAUUUGUGGUAUGUUGGAAGUUUGAAUUUAUAGAUUUAAAGCUCAGUCCAAAGAUUUAAUAAUAUUAGGUGUAAUUUGAAGAUCAGUAAUAUUUCUAUUUUUAUCUAUAUUUUAUUAAAAGUGGAUUAUAAAGAGGCCAGAUGAGGAUUGUUGAGGACUGCAGGCCGCAGGCCACGACAAGAGCCUGACCGCUCAAUGCCUCUUUACAAAAACUUUUUCUGUUCACGAAAAACGUUUCUGAAAAUGUCUAGCCAAAAGCUAAAGGCAUUUCCAUUUCAUUAUUUUUCGUUUUCAGAAACAGAAAACACUUAUAAAGCCAAAUUACAUGGUAACUCAAGAUGUCACGUGAUUUGCACAUGAUGCAUUUAAGUGAGCUUGAUCAAAAAUUAAAAUUUUUUUUUUUCUAAAGGAAAGGGUGAGUAAAGACAACUUAUUUUUUAACCUCUUAUUCCAAAUUCAGACUCGAAUAGUCAACUAAGUAAAAAUGCUUUCAAAUACUUGACCAUGUCUUUUUGGGCAAAUAGAACAAAUUGAGAAAUCACACUUGAUUGUGAAGGAAUUAGUUCUGCCAUCUCAACUGAAAACUUGUUUAUUUGCAUUGCAACUGGUUUUGUUUAAUUUUUAUGGGGUUUUUGAUGUUUCCAUCACUUGAUGUUCAAUUGCAAUUGUAUGUUACCUUAACAAGCAUUUGGUGAUUUUCCAGUAGCUAAUUUCUUUACACCAACAUUUUACUCAACUAAACUUUAAGCCUUUAUUUUAUCAAACUAAUUCACCAGUAGAUAACAUGUAUUUUUUGGCAAGAGUUUACAUUGCGAAAGAAAGAUAAGCCUAAGUUCACUCGUAUCGUGCUAAAGCAGAUGCAUUAUUAUUGGACGAAAAAGCACAAUUGGUGGUCUAAUCUACUGUAAAGUCUUGUAUUUAUUUGCAUAAUUACGGCCAUCAGUAUCUUUUACUGCAUUCACUUCUUUUUUUUUCUUUAAUUAUCAAGGAAACGCGGUUUAAGUAAUUAUCAAAAUUAUGUUAAAUAUUUGUGAGCCCAUUAUAGGACAGAGUGUGAGUCCCCACUAACAAAUAAUGGGACUGAUAUACAAAAUAGCGACCCUCAAAAUCCAGCUGAGAUGUCGCAAUUUCCUUAUGCUACAAAUGUUGACACUGGACUGGUAAAAGUGUGUGGCUAACAUUUCACUUUGCCAAAGGCCAGGCCCGUGAAAUCAACCAUUUUGCAUCUUCAAUUAUUUCACAAGCAGAUAACAUGUAUCAACAGGUAAUAUUCUCUCACUUACUUUUUUCAAUCAAUGCAUGUUUUCUCAUUGACAGGGCACGUGAAAAUGCGCAAAAUUUUCAUUCUGCACAAAAUUUCCAUCGUAUAUAUAAGUCAUAUAUUUGUUAGAGAACCAGAAAAAAAUCAAGAGAGCAACAAUUGACAGGUAAAUCUUGUGAGUGUUUCUCUCGCAGUUAAUAUUAAUAAUGAAAAUGCUUUUGAUGAAGUUGUCAUUGUGGAUUGGCAUAGCUUUGAUUCAGUUACAUGGAUACAAAGCAUGCUUGGAAACAGAGAGGAUUGCUUUGUUGGAAAUCAAGAGCUUCUUCGCAUCAGCCAGUGAUGUUGGAUAUGAUGACGAAGUUCUUUCUUCAUGAUUUGAUGAUGAUGGAAUGUCGUCUGAUUGUUGUAACGAUUGGGAGAGAAUUAAGUGCAACGCCACCACCCGACGGGUGACGCAACUCUCACUCAAUCAGAAAACAAAAAUCAACUGCUCUGAUUAUAACUCUUUUAUUCUUAUGAAGUUUCUCUUCUGAAUAUGUCAUUGUUUCACCCUUUCGAAGAAUUGCAGUGCCUUGACUUAUCUGAUAAUUGGUUUAAAGGCUUCUAUGAGAAUAAAGGUACUGUUGAUGCAAGAAAUCCGGAUAAGUUGGUCAGAUCUCAGAUCACUACAUCAUCAUUAAAUUUGUUUGGUGGGAAGCUGAUGAUUAGUUAGCACCAUGAGCAGAUUUUCUAUGAGCAGAUGUUCUGUGAGCAGACAACCCAUGAGCAGAUAAUCCAUAAGCAGACGAUCCAUGAGCAGAGAACCCAUGAGCAGACAUCCCAUGACCAGACAAUCCACGAGCAGACAAUCCAUGAGCAGAGAACCCAUGAGCAGACAUCCCAUGAGCAAAUAACCCAUGAGCAGACAAUUCAUGAGCAGAUAACCUGUGAGCCUGUGAACACAACCAACGGUUAGGAGGUGCCGGAAGUUUUUCCGGCGAGAACCCUCCGACGCUCAAGUCAGCGAUUCGGGUCUUACUUGGAAAAACCCAUACCACAAUUCAUGUGGCUUAAUUAUGAUUGCUUUAAACAAAAAGCUUUUAAGUAAAUUUAAAGGAAAAAAAUUCAAAAUAAUCAAUCUUAAAGAAAUCACAGGCGAAAGAGAAAUUUCUCUGUGGUAGAGAGAGAAAAAGGUCCAAUGGGUUCAGUUGCUUAGAGAGAGAGAGAGAGCUCGAAGAAUCCCUCAUUUCCUUUCCCUUCAUAGGGUUUUAUAGGAAACUAUAGCGGUUUUCAUCCUCUCCCCUAGAAUUCUUAAGAAAACUACUAAUUUUCAGCCCACUAAGAAUAUGGUCCCUAAUAUUUCGGAGAAAAUGUUUUGACUGAAUCGUGCUUCCUGGUAACUUCCUGGUCGAGGUGACCAAUAACAUCCUGGUCGAGGUGACCUGCUUGAGGUGACCAAUAACCUCCUGGUCGAGGUGAUGUGCUCGAGGUCACCACAUAUUAUUCUAGUUGAGGUGACCAAUAACAUCAUGGUCGAGAUGAUCUACUCGAGGUGACCAAUAACCUCCUGGUCGAUGUGAUGUGCUCGAGGUCACCACAUAUUAUUCUGGUCGAGGUGACCAAUAACAUCCUGGUCGAGGUCACCAAAUAACAUCCUGGUCGAGGUGACCUGCUCAAGGUGACCAACAACCUCCUGGUCGAGGUGAUGUGCUCGAGGUCACCACAUAUUAUUCUGGUCGAGGUGACCAAUAACAUCAUGGUCGAGAUGAUCUGCUCGAGGUGACCAAUAACCUCCUGGUCGAGGUGAUGUGCUCGAGGUCACCACAUAUUAUUCUGGUCGAGGUGACCAAUAACAUCCUGGUCGAGGUGAUCUGCUCGAGGUCACCAAAUAACAUCCUGGGCGAGGUGAUCUGCUCAACCAUUUGCUCAUUUUUACUUUAGAGGACAACAUGAUAAUGUAUGAGCAAACACCUUUAUCUUGGUCACCAUAUUUCAUUCCCUAAACACCAGUCCCCCAGUUUUUAGUGUUGAGAGUGAAACGAAUUAAGACUGGAAACUUUGGUGGUUUGCUCGCUUUCGCUUGGUCGAGGAGAUCCUGGUAUGCUUGGCUUCCUGUCUCGCCAUAAAACAGGCUUUGAGACUUUGGAGCCUUUGCACGCCUUAGAAAUUUUUUGGUACUUUGGUGGUUUGCUCGCAUUCGCUUGGUUGAGCAGAUCCUGGCAUGCUUGGCUUCCUGUCUCGCCAUAAAACAGGCUUUGAGACUUUGGAGUCUUUGCACGCCUUAGAAACUUUUUGGAACUUUGGUGAUCUGCUCGCCUUCGCUUGGUCGAGCAGAUCCUGGCGUGCUUGGCUUCCUGUCUCGCCAUAAAACAGGCUUUGAGACUUUGGAGCCUUUGCACGCCUUAGAAACUUUUUGGAACUUUAGUGGUCUGCUCGCUUUUGCUUGGUCGAGCAGAUCCUAGCACGCUUGGCUUCUGGUCUCGCCAUAAACAGGCUUUGAGACUUAGUGAGCCUUUGCAGGCCUUAGGAUUUUUUACAACGCUUGGGAGUCUGCUCGCCUUCGCUUGGUCGAGCAGAUCCUGGCACCCUUGGCUUCUGGUCUCGCCAUAAACAGGCUUUGAGACUUUGGUGAGCCUUUGCAUGCUUUAGGAACUUUUACAACGCUUGGGAGUCUGCUCGCCUUCGCUUGGUCGAGCAGAUCCUGGCACGCUUGACGUCUGGUCUCGCCAUAAACAGGCUUUGAGACUUUGGUGAGCCUUUGCAUGCUUUAGGAAUUUUUACAACGCUUGGGAGUCUGCUCGCCUUCGCUUGGUCGAGCAGAUCCUGGCACGCUUGACGUCUGGUCUCGCCAUAAACAGGCUUUGACACUUUGGUGAGCCUUUGCAUGCUUUAGGAAUUUUUACAACGCUUGGGAGUCUGCUCACCUUCGCUUGGUCGAGCAGAUCCUGGCAUGCUUGGCUUCCUGUCUCGCCAUAAAACAGGCUUUGAGACUUUGGAGCCUUUGCACGCCUUAGAAACUUUUUGGAACUUUAGUGGUCUGCUCGCUUUUGCUUGGUCGAGCAGAUCCUAGCACGCUUGGCUUCUGGUCUCGCCAUAAACAGGCUUUGAGACUUAGUGAGCCUUUGCAGGCCUUAGGAUUUUUUACAACGCUUGGGAGUCUGCUCGCCUUCGCUUGGUCGAGCAGAUCCUGGCACGCUUGGCUUCUGGUCUCGCCAUAAACAGGCUUUGAGACUUUGGUGAGCCUUUGCAUGCCUUAGGAAUUUUUACAACGCUUGGGAGUCUGCUCGUCUUCGCUUGGUCGAGCAGAUCCUGGCACGCUUGGCUUUUGGUCUCGCCAUAAACAGGCUUUGAGACUUUGGUGAGCCUUUGCAUGCCUUAGGAAUUUUUACAACGCUUGGGAGUCUGCUCGCCUUCGCUUGGUCGAGCAGAUCCUGGCACACUUGGCUUCUGGUCUCGCCAUAAACAGGCUUUGAGACUUUGGUGAGCCUUUGCAUGCCUUAGGAAUUUUUACAACGCUUGGGAGUCUGCUCGCCUUCGCUUGGUCGAGCAGAUCCUGGCACGCUUGGCUUUUGGUCUCGCCAUAAACAGGCUUUGAGACUUUGGUGAGCCUUUGCAGGCCUUAGGAUUUUUUACAACGCUUGGGAGUCUGCUCGCCUUCGCUUGGUCGAGCAGAUCCUGGCACGCUUGACGUCUGGUCUCGCCAUAAACAGGCUUUGAGACUUUGGUGAGCCUUUGCAUGCUUUAGGAAUUUUUACAACGCUUGGGAGUCUGCUCACCUUCGCUUGGUCGAGCAGAUCCUGGCAUGCUUGGCUUCCUGUCUCGCCAUAAAACAGGCUUUGAGACUUUGGAGCCUUUGCACGCCUUAGAAACUUUUUGGAACUUUAGUGGUCUACUCGCUUUUGCUUGGUCGAGCAGAUCCUAGCACGCUUGGCUUCUGGUCUCGCCAUAAACAGGCUUUGAGACUUAGUGAGCCUUUGCAGGCCUUAGGAUUUUUUACAACGCUUGGGAGUCUGCUCGCCUUCGCUUGGUCGAGCAGAUCCUGGCACGAUUGGCUUCUGGUCUCGCCAUAAACAGGCUUUGAGACUUUGGUGAGCCUUUGCAUGCUUUAGGAAUUUUUACAAUGCUUGGGAGUCUGCUCGCCUUCGCUUGGUCGAGCAGAUCCUGGCACGCUUGACGUCUGGUUUCGCCAUAAACAGGCUUUGAGACUUUGGUGAGCCUUUGCAUGCUUUAGGAAUUUUUACAACGCUUGGGAGUCUGCUCACCUUCGCUUGGUCGAGCAGAUCCUGGCACGCUUGGCUUCUAGUCUCGCCAUAAACAGGCUUUGAGACUUUGGUGAGCCUUUGCAUGCCUUAGGAAUUUUUACAACGCUUGGGAGUCUGCUCGUCUUCGCUUGGUCGAGCAGAUCCUGGCACGCUUGGCUUUUGGUCUCGCCAUAAACAGGCUUUGAGACUUUGGUGAGCCUUUGCAUGCCUUAGGAAUUUUUACAACGCUUGGGAGUCUGCUCGCCUUCGCUUGGUCGAGCAGAUCCUGGCACGAUUGGCUUCUGGUCUCGCCAUAAACAGGCUUUGAGACUUUGGUGAGCCUUUGCAUGCUUUAGGAAUUUUUACAACGCUUGGGAGUCUGCUCGCCUUCGCUUGGUCGAGCAGAUCCUGGCACGCUUGACGUCUGGUCUCGCCAUAAACAGGCUUUGAGACUUUGGUGAGCCUUUGCAUGCUUUAGGAAUUUUUACAACGCUUGGGAGUCUGCUCACCUUCGCUUGGUCGAGCAGAUCCUGGCACGCUUGGCUUCUGGUCUCGCCAUAAACAGGCUUUGAGACUUUGGUGAGCCUUUGCAUGCCUUAGGAAUUUUUACAACGCUUGGGAGUCUACUCGUCUUCGCUUGGUCGAGCAGAUCCUGGCACGCUUGGCUUUUGGUCUCGCCAUAAACAGGCUUUGAGACUUUGGUGAGCCUUUGCAUGCCUUAGGAAUUUUUACAACGCUUGGGAGUCUGCUCGUCUUCGCUUGGUCGAGCAGAUCCUGGCACGCUUGACUUCUGGUCUCGCCAUAAACAGGCUUUGGGACUUUGGUGAGCCUUUGCAUGCCUUAGGAAUUUUUACAACGCUUGGGAGUUUGCUCGCAACGAGAAGCCAAUUUGUUGUCUCUAUCAAUUUUCAUCUAGUCGAAGCAAAUCAGAAUGUUACAGUGCAUAAAUGGAUGAUCUUGCUUAAACAAGGAAGAAACAACCUUAAAUGAGAGCACAUUGAAGGCACACGUUUGCAAAAAUCAGAACAUGUCAGAAGUUAAAUUUUUAUUUACAAGCAAUUUUUUCAUGAAAUUUUAAUUAUUUCUCUAAAUCCUGCUAUGUGAGAUGAGGAUACCUUAUAUUCAUUAAAUUGAUUGUGCUCAUAUUAGGGCUGACGUUAUAACUUAGUUAACUUGAUUUCUUGAAAGUUACUCAAUAUGAGAAUGAUUUAAGAAAAGAGAGCUAGGCUAGCGUUGAGAAACCAAUCAAAGUUUACUAAUAAGGCGUGCAAAGGCUCCAAAGUCUCAAAGCUUGUUUUAUGGCGAGACAAGAAGCCAAGCUUGUCAGGAUCUGCUCGACCAAGUGAAGGUGAGCAGACCACCAAAGUUCCAAAAAGUUUCGAAGGCAUGCAAAGGCUCACCAAGUCUCAAAACAUGUUUUAUGGCGAGACCAGAAGCCAAGCGUGCCAGGAUCUGCUCGACCAAGCGAUGGCGAGCAGAAUCCCAAGCAUACAAAAAUUUCGAAGGCAUGCAAAGACUCACCAAGUCUCAAAGCCUGUUUUAUGGCGAGACCAGAAGUCAAACGUGCCAGGAUCUGCUCGACCAAGCGAUGGUGAGCAGAAUCCCAGGUAUACAAAAAUUUCAAAGGCAUGCAAAGGCUCACCAAAUCUCAAAGCCUGUUUUAUGGCGAGACCAGAAGCCAAGCGUGCCAGGAUCUGCUCGACCAAGCAAAGGCGAGCAGAAUCCCAAGCAUACAAAAAUUUCGAAGGCAUGCAAAGACUCACCAAGUCUCAAAGCCUGUUUUAUGGCGAGACCAGAAGUCAAGCGUGCCAGGAUCUGCUCGACCAAGCGAUGGCGAGCAGAAUCCCAAGCAUACAAAAAUUUCGAAGGCAUGCAAAGGCUCACCAAGUCUCAAAGCCUGUUUUAUGGCGAUACCAGAAGCCAAGCGUGCCAGGAUCUGCUCGACCAAGCGAUGGCGAGCAGAAUCCCAAGCAUACAAAAAUUUCGAAGGCAUGCAAAGACUCACCAAGUCUCAAAGCCUGUUUUAUGGCGAGACCAGAAGUCAAGCGUGCCAGGAUCUGCUCGACCAAGCGAUGGCGAGCAGAAUCCCAAGCAUACAAAAAUUUCGAAGGCAUGCAAGGACUCACCAUGUCUCAAAGCCUGUUUUAUGGCGAGACCAGAAGUCAAGCGUGCCAGGAUCUGCUCGACCAAGCGAUGGCGAGCAGAAUCCCAAGCAUACAAAAAUUUCGAAGGCAUGCAAAGGCUCACCAAGUCUCAAAGCCUGUUUUAUGGCGAGACCAGAAGCUAAGCGUGCCAGAAUCUGCUCGACCAAGCAAAGGCGAGCAGAAUCCCAAGCAUACAAAAAUUUCGAAGGCAUGCAAAGGCUCACCAAAUAUCAAAACCUGUUUUAUGGCGAGACCAGAAGACAAACGUGCCAGGAUCUGCUCGACCAAGCGAAGGCGAGCAGAAUCCCAAGCAUACAAAAAUUUCGAAGGCAUGCAAAGGCUCACCAAGUCUCAAAGCAUGUUUUAUGGCGAGACCAGAAGCCAAGCGUGCCAGGAUCUGCUCGACCAAGCGAAGGCGAGCAGACCACCAAAGUUCCAAAAAGUUUCUAAGGCGUGCAAAGGCUCCAAAGUCUCAAAGCAUGUUUUAUUACGAGACAGGAAGCCAAGCAUGCCAGGAUCUGCUCGACCAAGCGAAGGCGAGUAGACCACCAAAGUUUCCAGUCUUGAUUCGUUUCACUCUCAACACUAGAAACUGGGGGACUGGUGUUUAGGGAAUGAAAUAAGGUGACCAAGAUAAAGGUGUUUGCUCAUACAUUAUCGUGCUCUCCUCAAAGUAAAAGUGAGCAAAUGGUAUAGCAGAUCACCUCGACCAGGAUGUUAUUAGUCACCUCGAGCAGAUCACCUCGACCAGGAUAUUAUUGGUCACCUCGACCAGAAUAAUAUGUGGUGACCUCGAGCACAUCACCUCGACCAGGAUGUUAUUGGUCACCUCGAUUAGAAUAAUAUGUGGUGACCUCGAGCACAUCACCUCGACCAGGAUGAUAUUGGUCACCUCGAGCAGAUCACCUCGAGCAGGAUAUUAUUGGUCACCUCGACCAGAAUAAUAUGUGGUGACCUCGAGCACAUCACCUCGACCAGGAUGUUAUUGGUCACCUCGACCAGAAUAAUAUGUGGUGACCUCGAGCACAUCACCUCGACCAGGAUGUUAUUGGUCACCUCGAGCAGAUCACCUCGAUCAGGAUAUUAUUGGUCACCUCGACCAGAAUAAUAUGUGGUGACCUCGAGCACAUCACCUCGACCAGGAUAUUAUUGGUCACCUCGACCAGAAUAAUAUGUGGUGACCUCGAGCACAUCACCUCGACCAGGAUAUUAUUGGUCACCUCGACCAGGAAGUUACCAGAAAGCACGAUUCAGUCAAAAUAUUUUCUCCGAAAUAUUAGGGACCAUAUUCUUAGUGGGCUGAAAAUUAGUAGUUCUCUUGAGAAUUCUAGGGGAGAGGAUAAAAACCACUAUAGUUUCCUAUAAAAACCCUAGGAAGGGGAUUCUUCGAGCUCUCUCUCUCUCUCUAAGCAACUGAACCCAUUGGACAUUUUUCUCUCUCUACCACUGAGAAAUUUCUCUUUCGCCUGUGAUUUCUUUAAGAUUGAUUAUUUUGAAUUCUUUUCCUUUAAAUUUACUUAAAAGCUUUUUGUUUAAAGUAAUCAUAAUUAAGCCACAUGAAUUGUGGUAUGGGUUUUUCCAAGUAAGACCCGAAUCGCUGACUUGAGCGUCGGAGGGUUCUUGCCGGAAAAACUUCCGGCACCUCCUGACCGUUGGUUGUGUUCACAGGCUCACAGGUUAUCUGCUCAUGAAUUAUCUGCUCAUGGGUUAUCUGCUCAUGGGAUGUCUGCUCAUGGGUUCUCUGCUCAUGGAUCGUCUGCUCGUGGAUUGUCUGCUCAUGGGUUCUCUGCUCAUGGAUCGUUUGCUCAUGGAUUAUCUGCUCAUGGGUUGUCCGCUCACAGAACAUCGGCUCAUAGAAAAUCUGCUCAUGGUGCUAACUAAUCAUCAGCUUCCCACCAAACAAAUUUAAUGAUGAUGCAGUGAUCUAAGAUCUGACCAACUUAUCCGGAUUUCUUGCAUCAACAGGUACAAGCAUAUGUAUAUAUUACUCAUUCGUAAUUAUUUUGUCAGUGACUAAUUAAUGAUAAUAAUUCAUAUGCAUUUGCAGCUUACGACAGCUUGGGGAGUUUGAAACAGCUGAAGGUCUUAAAUCUUGGUGGUGAUUUCCUCAACGACAACAUAUUACCAUAUUUGAAUACACUAACUUCACUUACCACUCUGAAUCUUCGUUCCAAUAACAUUGAAGGUUCCAGAAUCAAGCAAGGUAUAUAUGUUUGAUACCAUCUUGCUGGCUUCAGCCUGUGUACAUGCGCGCAUUGCAACCAAGACACUGGGAAAGUGGCCUCGUAGUCAUUUUUUUUUCCUUUUCUUUUUCUCUAAACUUCGUUUUCGGAACACAUGAAAUCUAUCAAUUAGAAAGGGAGGGAAAAAAAAAAUCGUAGUAACUAUUAAUUGUUGACCAUUGACCCAAACUCUGACAUCAAUAACAAAUUUUUAAAAUAUCUAAAUAGAUUUAUUAAAUAAUAAAUGCUAAUAGUAUUUUUUUUUUAAAUAUUACUUAUAAUACAAUUGUUAAAUCUUAUAAAUUAUUCAUAAGACUAAUAAAUAGAAGGUAAAAUAAAUAAAUUAAUAUAAAAUUAUUAACUCGUAAAACAAUUAACAUGGUUUUAAUUCAUUUAUUUUAAUGGACUAAAACCGCUGACCAAAAUAAUUAGGAAAUUUGAUUUUUAUCUGUUUUUAAGUCUUGUAUUGGAUUUUGACCGAAUUCGCUAUAAUUAGUUUUCAUUCUAUAAAAUUUUAAUAUUUUAUUUUCAAGUUUAGGAAUAUGUAAUUUGAAGAAUCUUUUUGAGUUGGAUCUAAGCUCAAAUAACUUUGAGGGUCACAUUCCUCAGUGUCUCAACAACUUAACGCAUCUCAAAGUUCUUGAUAUUUCUAAUAAUCAAUUAAGUGGAAAAGUUCCUUCUAUCUUGACCAACCUCACAUCACUUGAAUAUUUAGAUCGUUUUUCCAUUAAUUUCCAAGGAACAGUCUCAAUAAAUUCAUUGGCUAAUCAUUCGAGGUCUUGUUAAUCUCAUCAGGAAGCAAUAUGUUACAAGUGAAAACUGAAACCUGGCACCCCACAUCUCAAUUGAAGGUUCUCAAAUUAUCCGACUGCCACUUACAUGUCAUUCCUAGUUUUCUUUUACAACAGUACCACUUAAAAUUCCUUGACCUCUCUAAUAAUAAGGUGGUUGGCAAUUUCCCAAUUUGGUUGUUCCAAAACAACACAAGAUAAAAAUAUUUGUCUUUGGCGAACAACUCACUCUCAGGAAUUCUUCAUCUACUUCCCAAUGCCAAACACGAUAUGCUUCGUCAUCAAGAUAUUUCCAAUAACAAUUUCGCUGGUAAGCUACCACGGAAUAUGGGUAUUGUCCUUCGGAAAUUGAUUUAUUUGGAUAUGUCAAAAAAAAUUUUUGAAGGUGAUAUUCCUUAUUCAAUAGGUAAGACGAAAGAGUUAUAUAUGCUGGAUUUGUCUAUAAAUAAUUUUUCAGGAGAAUUAGCCCGAUCUAUAGUCUCUACUUGCGUCGCUCUAGAUUUGUUAGACCUAUCAAAUAACAAUUUCUAUGGCCAAAUUUUCCCCAAAUAUAUGAACUGGACUCAUUUGCAUUGGUUAUAUUUGGACAACAAUCAUUUCAGUGGAAAGAUGGAUGACUGUUUGAAGAGCUCCACUUCAUUAGAAGGGUUAGAUAUAUGCGAUAACAUGUUAUCCGAUAAUAUUCCUAAUUGGAUUGGUAACAUCUCAACUCUUAGGGUUCUUUUAAUGUCAAAAAAUUAUUUGGAAGCUAAUAUUCUAGUCCAACUCAGCCAACUUAAAAGUCUUGAGCCUAUAGACAUCUUUGAAAAUAGAUUGUCUGGGUCCAUGGUAUCUUCCUUCAAUCUUUCAUCAGUGAAACACCUUUAUUUGCAGAAGAAUGCUAUUACUGGGUAAAUUCCUAAUGCAUUGUUUAGAAGCUCUAAAUUAAUCACUCUAGAUUUGAGGGAUAAUAAAUUCUUUGGUAGGAUUCCUUAUCAGAUCAAUGAGCUUUCGAAUUUGCAUGUUCUUCUUUUAAGAGGGAAUUCUCUACAAGGACAUAUUCCUAAUGAAUUGUGCCAGUUAGCAAAAUUACGUAUCAUGGAUCUUUCAAAUAACAUAUUUAGUGGGUCAAUACCUUCAUGCUUGGGUAACGUGUCAUUCUGGAGAGAAUGAACUAAUUAUUAUUUGUAUGACUAUGGUUUGCUUGAUGAAUACACAGCGUAUCAGGGUUUCUACAUCGAUUCUAUUGCUACUACUUUCUACAAUUCUACUCUUAAUCUUCAACCGCCCACUGAACCACAUGCCUCAAUAAAUCAAACAGUAGAAGCAGAGCUUUGUGGUUCCUUGAUAAGGAAGAAAUGCAGCAGUAAUUAAAACCACCAGCAACACCAACAGAAGGAGCAGAAGAAGAAGAAGACGAUUCGAUGAUUGAUAUGGUGGCAUUAAAAUGGAGUUUUGGCGCGUCCUUUGUGACAGUUAUUUUGGGUUUGUUUGCAGUCCUUUGGAUAAACUCCUAUUGGCGUAGACGGUGGUUCUAUUUCAUUGAUAAAUGUAUUGACACAUGCUACUAUUGGCUCUUCAAAUAUGCAUUCUAUCGGUGAUUGUGCUAGGCCAUUGUAGUAAGUUCCUACGGGUCUGCCGGGUAUAACUUGUCAUGCUGUGUUACGUAUUCCGUCAGCUUUUCUGCAAACUGCUAUGUAUCAGUGUAUGUGUUUGCUAAAAUUCUUAAUUUGGUCCUAAAACUAUGCUCAAGUUUUGAAGUUCCUUCGAGUGGUUUCGUUAAAAUUAGACUUACUGUUUCUUCUGCAGUUUCUGUUGGUUGCAAAUAUAAAUUUAACAACUUCCUGUUGUAUCUCGAACGUGCUUGUGUUGAUUGAAAGAACAUUGAGACUCGAAAUGCUAUAAUCCGAAUGAGCAAUUUUCCCAAAUACUAUGUUGAUUGUAAUAUGAACGGGAUCUCGCGGUGCCACCGAUAUUUCUUUGUAGAACACCGACUUGCAAGCCAUGGCAGUAACGUUUGGAACCUGGGACUCUUCUUUUGAAGAUGGAAAAACUCCAUUUACCAAAUCGAAAAAUGUUUUUCUAGAAUCAAUAACAACAACCAUUAAAUAACAAUAGGAUGGAAGAACUGCACAUAUCGAAAUAAUGGUUUCUUCUCACUCUGUUCAAGGUGAUUGGGGAAAACAAUAAUUAUCACUCUUUGCUGCCCGUCAUCUCUGAAUUUCUAAAGAUGUAGCAGCUUUACCAAGCAACCCUCCCUCAUUGCCUACUAACUAAACAAGCUGGCCCAAUCUCUGGCCAUAAAUAGUUCAGAAUCUUCUAAAAUUUGAAUCCUGUAUGUGAUCUGUAUAAGCAUGUUAGAUUUCUAUUAUAUAUAUAUAUAUAUAUGCUAGAAAUGGAUGUUAUAAUUGGUGCCUUCAGAGUUCACCAAUUAAAGUACAACUUUACUCUGUAUUCAGUAAAUUUGUGCACUGCCCUGACUUCUAUAUACAAGUUAUUAAUAAUAACUUAUGAAUACGAAUGUAUAUAAAUUAAUUUUCUUUAAUUGGGUAAAUUAAUUUUCUUUAAUUGGGCCAAAAAUGAUAUUUCAAAAGCCCAUAAACAAAAAAAUAAAAUAAGUUUUAUAUAUAAAGCGAAUUAAAAAAGAAAGCACUUACCAUUGCUUUGCAAAAGCACACGGGCAUGAGAGGAAGACAAUGGGAAAAUUUUCAUGAUUUAGGAUUUUUCCAAAAUUGAGUUUGGUCUUUCACAACUUGGAUUCGAGAGUCAUUCUAGAGUACUUUUAUCCCUAAGUUCAUUUGUAAAUUCAUUGGAGAGGAAUUUUAAUGUAGGAAGUGUAGAGAAAGGAUUUGAGUGAGAGGGAACUGAUUCAAGCUUUCAAGUUGAAUUUCUCAUCAAAUGGAAUAAGAUUUCUAUCAUUUUAUCUUUACCUGAAAUUGCAUUUACAUGAAAGUAAAAUUAAUUUAAAGAUUAGUAUACUUUUAUUAUAGUAAGGGCUCCCAACAAAUGGGUGUAGUCCGUCCCAAGCUAAUUUUAGUAAUUGGUGGAUCAUUUUAGGUGGACAAAGGCACCAAGGCAUUAGAGCCAAAAUGUGUAGCCCUCACUAUUUCCUCAAUUCGGUAUGUAAAUAGCUUAUUGUUAUAUAUUAUGUUUGGGUAGUUCAUGGUUAAUAAUGAGAUUGGUGAUAAUGUGGAUGAUUUAUUGGUAUUAUAGGAUAUGGAAAUUUAAUUAUUGAGCUGGAAUAUGGAAUUUUGAGCAUAAGGUGUAAUUGAUGGUUUUGAGAGUAUUAGGGUAAUUUUUAUUUACAAAUAAUGGAUUCGAGAGUUAUAAGCUAUGGGAUAAAUAUUCAUUGUGAAUCAUAUCACAUAAAAUUAGUUGUAUUUCUUAUGUUUGGAAAGUAAUUAUUGAUGGGGAAAAAUCAGGUUUUUAAAUUUUUAUAAAACCUUUUGAAGAUCGCUCUCAUAUAAUAUAUAAGAAUUCGUAUUCUAGAAAUCGUACCUUGUAAAUCUGAGUUUGCUUUUUCCGCUGAAGUGAUUUAGGCUCCUAGAUCACGAUCCGCCACCACCACUCCUGUUAGAUCACGAUCCGUCACCACCACGCUUGUUAGAUCACGAACUGUCUCCAAUGAUCUUCCAGGUUAUGACUCAGGUUCGAUCUGCACUUGACGUGUGGGCGCCUUUAUCACUACCAAAGCAACUAGCACGAGAAAAUUUUUCUCUCAACAAUGGAGAGAAAAAUCUUAUUCUCUGAUUUGUAUAAAGUGGCUUCCCCAUUCCUUUUUGGGAAAAUAAGCCUUAUAUAUCUCCCUUUAGUGAAAACCCUAGGCUCCAAGGAUUCCCCCAAAAUAAAACUCACGUUACUUUUCAUUUAAUAGGGGACCCACCAUGUAAAAUAACAUAAGACCCCUUACACAUAAACUUAUUAAAUGGAGCCUCCCACUAAAUGAUAUAUUUAGGCUUUUGACCCAAAUAGCUAGUUAUCUUGCUUAUUAGUCCAGCAGUGGUGCAAUCAAUUAAAUGAGCUAACCCGGGGAUCAUUUGGGAACAUACAAUAGUGGCUACAAUAAUUAGGCCUGUAAUUAAACUAGCCCAAUUAUUUAAUUCCAAAUCUACUCCACUAAAAGAUUGGAACUGACUUCCAUAAUUGUAUGCUCGAAUAAUAAUUCGUCCCAAGCCACAUUGAUUUCUUUACUGCACAAUCCUUUGUACCACAUCGUUAAUUAAAUUGAUAUCUCAACUGUCCAAUCAAUUUAAUAACAUCUUAUUCCUUGAUCCUUACUGGUUUUCUCUAAUGAUCAUUUUCAACAUACUAAAUAUGUUGACACACUCUGGCCAAAGAAUUCUAUGAUCAAGUACCGAAAACCUAUCAAGAGAUGUGUUGUACAAAUUCUAUAUUGUUAAUCCAUAACUCCAAUACUCAUAAUUGCUCCCACCAAGAUACCGGGUAAUCUUGACCACAAGGAUGUGUCGUGCCCAUUGGUAACUCAAAUGAAAUAACAAUCACAAUCAUGAAAUCAUAAUUAACUCAAGAUUAAGAUUACAGUAAAAUCAACGCCUAUGAGAUUUAAUAAGUCUGACAGUUAUUACAAAGUUAAUUAAAUCUCAUAUGUGAUCCUGUUCAAUGUAGUCGUACUACAUCAAUAAAUUCAUACAUGAUUAAGACAAAUCAUUCAAUGAAUUUAUUACAGUCUAUACCUAAAUAAAGUGCCCAACUUUAUUUAUCAACUGCAAACUAAAUUUAUUUAAUCAUAAGAUAACUUGUAUUUAUGUCUUCUGUGAAUCCACAUGGUGAUCACAUAAAUACAUAUAAUAUGAUUAAAUGGACUUUAAUACAAAUAUUAAUGCAAUUAAGAUAUUUGAAUAAAAUACCUCAUUAAUUUUAUUAAUCAGAAAAAAUAUUUAUUACAAAUAAAUAAACACAUAUGCUUUAAAGAGCAUAUUUUCCCAACAAUCUCCCACUAGCUCUCAAAGCAUAUCUGGCAUAUUGCACAUGCUCUAGGGCUCUAAGUGCAGGUUAUAAAGGUUUCCCACUAAUGGCCAUUGUAAUAAGAUCUGCCAUUUAGCAUCUAAUGCCAUUUGGGGUAUUGUCAUAUAACCUUUCUACACUAUUCCCUUAUAAGAUGAUACUUCCUUUCAAUAUGUUUUGUUUCUUGUGGUUCCUUGGUUCCUUAGAUUGAGCUACCGCACCACCAUUAUCACAAAAUAGUUUAAGGGGUGCAGUUACAACAGGUACCACCUCAAGAUUUCGUAGGAACUUGCAGAGCCAUAUAGCUUCUUUUGCAGCUUCAGAUGUAGCCACAUAUUCAGCUUUAGUUGUUGAGUCUGUGAUACAAGAUUGUUUCACACUCAUCCAACUAGUAGCUCCACUUCCCAAUGUAAACACAUAGCCGGAAGUUGAUUUUCUAAAAUCCUUAUCUGACAAAAAAUCAGAAUUAGUAUAACCCACUAGAAUAAGUUCAUCACCAGAAUACACAAGCAUAUAAUUUUAAGUUCUUUUCAGAUACUUCAUUAUAUGCUUGACCGCAGUCCAGUGUUCAGGUCCAGGAUUAGAUUGAUAUCUACUAACCAUCCCUACCGCAAAACAGAUGUCUGGCCUAGUGCAAAGCAUGGCAUUCAUGAGACUUCCCACAGCUUCUGCAUAGGGAACUCGUCUCAUUCUCUCUAUCUCUUCAGAUGUUUUAGGUGAUUGAUCCUUAGAGAAUGUAAUUCCAUGUCUGAAUGGUAAUAAACCAGUCUUGGAAUUUUCCAUACUAAAUCUAGCCAAUAUCUUAUCGAUAUAGACCGCUUGAGACAAGGCUAAAGUUUUAUUCUUCCGGUCUCAUAGUAACUUGAUACCAAGAAUAUAACUUGUCUCUCCCAGGUCUUUCAUAUCAAAUUGUUUUGCUAACCAAAUCUUUAUUGUAGUCAAUACUCCUAUAUCGUUUCCAAUCAGGAGAAUAUUGUCUACACAAAGAACUAGGAAGGCUACAAAUUUUCCCUGAAUUUUCUUGUACACACAUGGUUCAUCAAUGUUCUGAAUGAAUCCAAGUGAUUUAAUCGCUUGAUCAAAUCUGAUGUUCCAUGACUGGGAUGCUUGCUUCAAUCCAUAAAUAGAUCUCUGCAACUUACAUACCAUGUGUUCUUGGCCUUUUUUGUAUAAAUCCAUCUGGUUGCUGUAUGUAGAUGUUUUCUUCAAGAUGCCUGUUAAGAAAGGCAGUCUUGACAUCCAUUUGCCAAAUUUCAUAAUCUAGCACUGCAGCAAUGGAGAGCAGAAUCCUGAUGGAUUUAAGCAUAGCAACCGGAGAAAAAGUUUCCUCAUAAUUGAUUCAUUCUUUCUGAGUAAACCCUUCGGCUACUAAUCUUGCUUUAAAUGUUUCCACAUUUCCGUCUACUCCUCUUUUUCUCUUGUAGAUCCACUUGCACCCUAUAGGUUUUACCCCAUUUGGCGCCUCUACAAGUUCCCAGACUUUAUUGGAAUACAUAGAUUCCAUUUCUUGAUUCAUGGCCUUUUUCAAAAUUCAACAUCUCUAUCUAUUAGAGCUUCGUUGUAACUAGUGGGAUCUUGUACAUGUUCAUCUGAGAUAGCCAUAUAGGUUUCUCCCAAAAAUAUGUAUCUCGCAGGUAACCUAGUUACCCUCCCACUACGACAAGGUUCUAAAAGUGAUGGUUGUUCAAGGAUAAUCCUGUGCUGAUCAGCUGGUUGUUGCUGUUCUUCCUGUUCUAUAACAGGUGUUGAAAGCUGAGCAUCAACCUGAUCUCUUUUAUUUCUCUAGUUUUACCUUACUCUUAGGUUAUAAGUCAUUAUAGAGUCUUCCUCAAAGAAAGUAAAGAAUAUUUCUAUAAAUACAUUCCUAUCUUGAGGACUAUAAUUCAGACUUUCCCUUAUUCCUUUAAGAUACCUAAAACAUGCAAGCUUCUGAACACGAAUCCAUCUUGUCUAUCUCUGAUUCUAGUAGAAAUACUAGUAAACUCCAAAUACGAAUGUGUCUCAAACCAUGUUUGUGACUUUUUCAUAAUUUCUUGGAGUAGUAGACACCGAGAUAGAUGAAACUAAGUUCAAUAAACUUUGUAGUUUUAAAUACUAGUAUCUGGAAUCAAAAAGGUAAAUGAUAAACCACUUAGUAUAUAUCUUGUCUUAUCCAAAAGAAUCUUGUUUCUCCAUUUAAUUACACUAUUGUAUCAUAGUGUUCAUUGACAACCAAAUAGUGCUUGAAUUCUCCAUAGAGAUAUUCUUUGUUUCGAUCAUAUCGAAGUUCUUUUAUGUUCCUGUCUAAUUGCUUCUGUCUUAUCCACGUACUCUUUUGAAUUUCAAAAGCAAUGGAAUCAUGACGCAUUUAGACAAACAUAAAUAAAAUGAAUAUUCAUCAACAAGAUUGAUAGAAUACUCAUAUCCUCUUAUAACAUGUAAACUGAUUAGUCCGUAUACAUUUGUAUGCGCUAAAUCAUCAAAUACAAUGUUAUGCUUUUAGCUCAAAAAGAGCAUCUUUGUCAUAUUACUUUUCUAAAUAAGAUUUAUAGAGUUACAAUGAUCAAUCUUAAUAGGCCAACAAGUCUAUCAUUAAUCAUUUUCUUAAAAUCUUAUUAUAGUUUAUAUGACUUAAGCAUAAAUAUCAGAGGUGAUUCUUGGUUAGAAGAAACAUUUCUUUUCUUAGAUAAAUGCAUAUACUUUUUAUCAUUAUAUCUUACUUUGAACAGAUCAAUGUACUUCUAUGAUAUAAAUUGUCUUUAUAAAUAACCAAAAUAAGUAAUAAACAGAGGAUCCAUAAAUAACAGUGUACUCCUGUUUAUUAAAACAAGCCACUGAAAUUAAAUUCCUCUAAUAUUUGGAAAAAUAAAGACAAAUAUCAAAACUAAAGUCUUGUAAAAUUGAUCUAGUCUUUCAAUUGAUAUAAACUAGCACAUCCUCAACUGCUAUUUGAAGCUUUCUUCACUUAAUCUCUUGGUUUCCUGAAAACCAAAUAAAUGAAUUACAAAUAAGAUUAGUUAUCUCAGAAUUCAUUAUUGUAUGAAUCAAUAGAAAUAUGAACUAAUUAGGAAGCUUAAAGAUUUCCUAUACCUGAUUUUAAUAAUCUUAGGACAAUCUUUCUUCCAGUGACCCUUCUGUCCACAUUUGUAACACUUGCCUUUUGGCUUGCCACUUCUUUUAAUGGACAGUUUGCCGAUCCCAACUCUUGCUUGCUCAUUCUUGUCUUUUGACUUAAGCCUUGAAGAGAAUCCUUUUUCAGGAAGUUUUCUGCUAUGAUAAAAUUCUUCUAUAGCAUGUAGUUCGUGCAUUAAUUCAAUUAAGGUCAUAUCUUUAUUGUUUAAGAUAUAGCUGACCUUAAACUCUUUGAAUGUAUCAGGUAAAGAUUCAAUCACCAUGUUAAUCUUUGAUUUAUCAUUGAUUUGAACACCAUGAAUCUCUACCUCAUUCAAAUAGUCCAUCAUUUUGAGGACAUGAUCACGAACUUUUGUGCCCUCUUCCAUCUGAGUAUCCGUAAUACGUUUUAAUGCUGCUUCUCUGGCAAAAUGGGUAUUUUGCCCAAACAUCUGAUGCAGACUAGCCAUUAUUUCAGUGGCUGUUUCCAUGCUCCGAUGUUUCUUAUGCAGUUCCACAGAAAUCGAAGCCAAUAUAUAGCGCUUAGCCAUUUUGUUAGCUUCGCACCAUUUCUCAUAAGGCUCCCUCUGAUUUCUAUAAUCGUAUAACGAUGGUUCAGGAGGGCAAGGCUGGGUCAACACAUAUUUGCUUCCCUUAGCAGUGAGAAUAUUAAAUAGAUUGCGUUUCCAAUCUAAAUAAUUUUCGCCAGUGAGUUCAUUUUUAACAAGGAUAAAUAAUAAUGGGUUGAUGGAAGACAUUUUCUGAAAAAAACAAAAUACACAUGCAUAAAUACUUUGAAACAAUAUUCACAAUAAAUGACAAAAAUGCAAAAAACCAUAAAUGCAUUUUAAUUUAUUGUAACGAUAAUCUAGUACCGCUUUGACAAGCUAUUCGUUGGGGAAGUCAUGUCUACACUUACUAGACCCAAUUAUCCAUUGGAUUAUUUACUUUCAUGUAGAGACAUGAUAAAUAAUUAUCGUUAUCCCUUUGGACCUAAAUUUGUUAACAGAGCUUCGUUGGGAAGGUUAAUAACAAACUUUAGUUGAGUGUAUAACCAUUGUUUCAAUCUACGUAUUUUUCAUAUCAAUAGUCACCGUUGGGGUGAACAAUCGAUUGAAAAAUAUUUCAAUUUUAUCUUUGAAGAAGUUCAUCAAAUAAAAUAUCUAAUAUAUAUACCCUCCGAAGGGAGCAUCACCGUAUCAUGAAGUCGAGGUAUAUAUAUAAUUUUAUUAUUGAACUAACAAUGGAGCCCGUGGGAAAAUUAUCUUGAAUUUUCCCUCUCCCACUCAAUAUUUUAAAAUUGGUUUUUCCUUUUUAAAACAUACAUAUUGUUAAUUGCAUGCUUCCUAUAAUAUUAUCUAGAUGAUAUCAAAUAUUAUUAAGCAUAUACAAAUUUCAAACAAUAUAAUGAAAUUCAUUAUUAAUGAAUGACAUGUAUCAUUAUGCAUAGAGUGGCACUACCUAUUCUAUAUGACAUGUUAUCAUGGCAUGUUAUCAUCCAAAACAUAACAUAUAGAAAAACUAUUAAAUAAUCUUAAUUCAUGGCUUUCCUAAUAAUGAAAAAUACAUUAACCCUAAGCCUAAUCUUCAUUGGGCUUCUUGUCAAUGUCCAUCUUCCAUAAGCUUGUUUUUGUUAAUGGACUAGGGGAAAUUGAGCUUUUAAAUUUAUAAUUGGUCCAAUUUUAAUUUUGAAAGGAAAUAAAUAAAUAAAUUAUUUUAUUUUUAUUUUAUUUUUUUUUAUUAAAAUAAAACUUUUGGACCAAAAAUAAAUUUAAUGUAUUUAAUUUUGUCUAUGCAUUUUUAAUCCAUUAAGCCCAAAUAUCAAUUGGGCCUAAAACUAGGAUUCUUUAAGCCCAAAACUAUUUUUAGACUUAAAUGCAAAAAAUUAAAACUUGACUGCCCAAGUGAAAAAUUAUGGAACCAUAGGGACCUCCAUGAUAAAAGCCAUGAAACCCUAAAUCCAUAUUUUUCUUUCUUUCUUCUUCCCCAGCCGCCAUCUCCAAAAUCCUCCUUCACUGUUCAGACGCCAGCCGACCUCCGACGCCGACGCCGACGCCAAACCAACUGCUGCCGCCUGGCCGGAAAACGUGCCAAAACCCGCGCGCAACUUUCUGCUGGCCUCGGCAGCGUUGCUUCCAGCUGCAGCACAUGCAGCGCGCGCUGCUGGCCACGCUGGCCGCGCGCGCUGCUUGCUGCGCACAGCGCAGCGCGCGCCGCUGGCCAAUGUUGGCCGCGCGCGCUGCUUUGCUGCGCACAGCGCAGCGCGCGAUGCUGGCCAUUGCUGGCCGCGCACGCUGCUGCAGCAUGCCCUGGUUUGCUGCCGCUGUCAUAAUUUCCGGCCUCCGUCGCUCCGAUCUUGAAAAUCUGAGAUUAAUUUACAAAUUUCCUAGACCAAUUUUGGCUUACAAAAAUUCUAUAACUGUAAAAUAAAUCAAGAGGGAAACAUGGUGAUAAAAAACCACCCCUCUUGUUACAGAUUCAAAGAACAAUACAAAAGAAAAUCUAACCAUGAAUUAAGACAAACCAUAAGCAUGCUUUAUUCAUAUAUUAAAUAAAUAAUAUACAUCUGAAUAAAUUGUGCCACUCUAAUACAUAAAUUUCAAGAUUAAUUUCAUACGAAAUUCUUAUAUAUUAAUAUGAGAUGGCUCUGAUACCAAUUGAUGGGGAAAAAUCAGGUUUUUAAAUUUUUAUAAAACCUUUUGAAGAUCGCUCUCAUAUAAUAUAUAAGAAUUCGUAUUCUAGAAAUCGUACCUUGUAAAUCUGAGUUUGCUUUUUCCGCUGAAGUGAUUUAGGCUCCUAGAUCACGAUCCGCCACCACCACUCCUGUUAGAUCACGAUCCGUCACCACCACGCUUGUUAGAUCACGAACUGUCUCCAAUGAUCUUCCAGGUUAUGACUCAGGUUCGAUCUGCACUUGACGUGUGGGCGCCUUUAUCACUACCAAAGCAACUAGCACGAGAAAAUUUUUCUCUCAACAAUGGAGAGAAAAAUCUUAUUCUCUGAUUUGUAUAAAGUGGCUUCCCCAUUCCUUUUUGGGAAAAUAAGCCUUAUAUAUCUCCCUUUAGUGAAAACCCUAGGCUCCAAGGAUUCCCCCAAAAUAAAACUCACGUUACUUUUCAUUUAAUAGGGGACCCACCAUGUAAAAUAACAUAAGACCCCUUACACAUAAGCUUAUUAAAUGGAGCCUCCCACUAAAUGAUAUAUUUAGGCUUUUGACCCAAAUAGCUAGUUAUCUUGCUUAUUAGUCCAGCAGUGGUGCAAUCAAUUAAAUGAGCUAACCCGGGGAUCAUUUGGGAACAUACAAUAGUGGCUACAAUAAUUAGGCCUGUAAUUAAACUAGCCCAAUUAUUUAAUUCCAAAUCUACUCCACUAAAAGAUUGGAACUGACUUCCAUAAUUGUAUGCUCGAAUAAUAAUUCGUCCCAAGCCACAUUGAUUUCUUUACUGCACAAUCCUUUGUACCACAUCGUUAAUUAAAUUGAUAUCUCAACUGUCCAAUCAAUUUAAUAACAUCUUAUUCCUUGAUCCUUACUGGUUUUCUCUAAUGAUCAUUUUCAACAUACUAAAUAUGUUGACACACUCUGGCCAGAGAAUUCUAUGAUCAAGUACCGAAAACCUAUCAAGAGAUGUGUUGUACAAAUUCUAUAUUGUUAAUCCAUAACUCCAAUACUCAUAAUUGCUCCCACCAAGAUACCGGGUAAUCUUGACCACAAGGAUGUGUCGUGCCCAUUGGUAACUCAAAUGAAAUAACAAUCACAAUCAUGAAAUCAUAAUUAACUCAAGAUUAAGAUUACAGUAAAAUCAACGCCUAUGAGAUUUAAUAAGUCUGACAGUUAUUACAAAGUUAAUUAAAUCUCAUAUGUGAUCCUGUUCAAUGUAGUCGUACUACAUCAAUAAAUUCAUACAUGAUUAAGACAAAUCAUUCAAUGAAUUUAUUACAGUCUAUACCUAAAUAAAGUGCCCAACUUUAUUUAUCAACUGCGAACUAAAUUUAUUUAAUCAUAAGAUAACUUGUAUUUAUGUCUUCUGUGAAUCCACAUGGUGAUCACAUAAAUACAUAUAAUAUGAUUAAAUGGACUUUAAUACAAAUAUUAAUGCAAUUAAGAUAUUUGAAUAAAAUACCUCAUUAAUUUUAUUAAUCAGAAAAAAUAUUUAUUACAAAUAAAUAAACACAUAUGCUUUAAAGAGCAUAUUUUCCCAACAAUUAUGACAUUUCCUUGAUAUAGGAGGAGCCACGAACAUCAAUUCGCAGACAUCGACAAUAACCAAACUUGAGCAUCAUCGUUGUUAGUUACACCUGUAGCCAAAUUUAUGACCUUUGGAAGAUACCCUACUCAUUCUACGCAACCAUCCUACAUCAUGCCAAAGUUAGUUACAUGGGACACGCGUGAUCUCUUCGUUAAUGGUCUUGAUUCACACACCUAAGAAUUAUGUUCAGCCUUGCACUAUUAAUAUCACUUAUAAAUUAUGAUCCAUGAAAUCCUCUGUUUUUAGUUUCUCUGCACUCUUUUAUCAUAAUUAUUUUUUUUAACAUUUUCUCUGUAAGCAAAAAUUGGCGUUCAACAAUUAAUAAGAGUUGUAACAGAGGAAAAUCCAGCAAUAACAUCCAAUCGAGGAGAAGACGAGGAUGAAUCUGCAAUUAAGAUGAAUCCUUUGGUUGAACUCGUAUUGGCAGUGGCCACGGUUAUCUUUCAUUGAUGCAUGUACUGAUUGUUGUUUAUAUUGGCUUCUAAAAUCUGUCUAUUUCAUCCGUGAUCUUGCUAGGCCAUAGUUUACCGUUAUCCUUCUUUUAUGUGUAAUUGAACUUUUAUGUGUUAAUUUUUAGUUCAUUGCUUUCAAGCUCGGUUCUUGAAAAAUAUACUAAUUUUUAUGCCUUGUGCAAUUCAUUUGCUAUAUGAAUCUGACGCAUUUCUCGUACCUGAGGUCUUAAGACCAGAGUGAAGGCCUGAAUAUUUCAUGUACAGGUGCCUGUUGGUGAUUUUGAUUUAGAAUUAUGGAUUUUGAAUGUUCAACCUUGCGCAUUUGCACUAGGAAUAUCAAUUAGGACAUGACGAAUGAAAUCCUCUGUUUUUAGUUUCUCUGCCCUCUUUUACUUUCUUUCACAGUUACAUUUUUCCUGUAAACAAAAAUUUGUCUCUAAGUUUUCAUUCACAUAUUUGUAAUUCAUCGUUAAUGUUAAAAAUUUAAGUGGCUAAAAACAUCCAAAAGUUGCGUGCAAUUGUCAUAUUAUGUUAAUGAUGAAUUAGCUUAUUUUUCUUUAGCUUUCCUCUAUCUUUCUUCGAGUACUGAUAUUUGAACACUAUCAAGAAACCACCAAGAUAAAAAAAUCAGUAUUGUUUACUGUAUCUUUCUUUUAUGAGUAGUUAAUUAUGCCUUGUUGUGCAAUUCAUUUGCCAUAUGAAUCUGAAGAAUUUAUUGUGCAUUGUGUUCUUAAGACUAUGGAGUGAAGGCCUUCACAGAACUAGCUCAAGAUGGCGCCAACAUUAGUUACAUGUGACACGCGGGACGUCUCUGUUAAUUAUUUUGAUUCACACGCCAAAGAAUUAUAUUGAGCCUUGCACUCUUUUAUUUUAUUUUUUGAACAUUUUCUCUGUGAACAAAUUUUGGUUUCUAAGUUUUCCUUGACAUAUCUGUAAUUUAUCAUUAAUGUUGAAAUUUCGGAGGCUAAAAACAUCCAAAAUUUGUGUGCAAUUAUCGUAUUGAGUUACUGAUGAAUCAGCUUAUUUUUCUUUAGCAUUCCCCUUUUUUCCUUUUCAUUUUGCUUAACUUUUCCUUCAUUCAAAUUCUUUCACUGUGCGGCUGUGGUCCUCAAACUCAAUUAUGAUAUUUACUAGUCGUGCGUCGAAUGUGGCUCUGAUUGAUGAUACGAUUGCUUGGUUGUGUUCAUAAACUUGACUAUGGGUUAACAUUAACACACAUCCUCCAUGUUCCAUCAACUAGCAAAACCGGAACUGUGCAUAGACUCAUGCUUUCUCUCCCGUACCCUUUUAUGACCCCUGUCCCCAGUUAGUUGACAGAAUACGUCAAUUGAAGGUUGCCUUGCAGUGUGCAUGUUUGAUUAUAAUUAUUGUAGAAUAAGGACUCCCUGAUCACAAGUCAAUGAAAUUGCAGAAAGCCUAUGAUCAUUGAAUGCUAAUUCCAUCUUACUGGCGUAGACAAUGGUUUAAUAAAUCUUUCGUAAAUUUCCUCAUCGCUUCCUAUGUCACAAUGAUAUUGGUGUAGCCGGUGAUUUUAGAUAAACUCAUACCAGCGUACAUUAUGGUUUUAUUAUUAAUUGAUGGACGAACCAAUUCAUGUUUCUAAAAAAAAAAAAAAAAGAAAGAAAGAAAGAAAAUCAUAUUGGCUUGUAUAUUUUAUUGCAAAAUAUACAAGCCCUUGUACACACCGGAUAAAUUUCUACCAAUACUAUACUAUACUUGUAAAGAGAGUUCAAAGAGCCAUAUUAGCACUUCCUGGAACUAUAUUAUUCAUCAAUUUUUUUUAUAAUAAUUAUAUUUUUUUAUUUUGGUUUGAGUACUUCAUAUCUCUGAAUAUAUAUAUAUAUCACCAGUCAAAGAUAUGUGAUUCACAUUUGACUUUAGCGAAAUAAAAAGUUGUUUUGCAAUGGAAGUACUUCCUUCAUUAAGUUCUCAUUAACCUCACUACUUUGGAUUGUUGUUUUGGAUGAAAUCCAGGUAUGCAAGGCUUGCUUGGAAGCUGAGAUGACGAAGCUCUUAGUUCAUGAUUUGACGAUGAUGAAGGAAUGUCGUCUGAUUGCUGUGAUGAUUGGGAGGGAGCGACGGAUCUCUUCUCAAUAAAAUAACGGAAUUCAACUAUUCUCAAUACAGGAAUAAAUUAUUUGAUUAUUUCAAACCCAGGCUUACGCUAAAUUAUCUCAAUUAACUUUCAUUUUAUUAGUUGACUAUCUCAAUCAACUGUUGACUAUCUCGACCAACUGGCUCCAAGUUGGCUUGUUUUCCACGGAGUAUUAAUGAAGCACUUUUCCUCAUUGGUCCAAGCCUUAUAAGUCUUCGUUAGUCAUUACAAUUCAAUGCUUGCAUAGAUUAAUUAUUUGAUAAUUCCAUGCAAAUCCAAUCAUACAAUUCAAUAGAAAAUAAUUAUCGUAAUUUUAGAAAGACAGUUUUGAAACAGUAAUUGAAAGUAUUCAUUUGAACUUUUUAUAUUUACAGAGAAAAGUCUAUUGGUGCUAGUUUCCAAUUCAUAAAAAUAAGUCAUCCGUGAAACACGCUUUGAAACUGGUUAGGCAGGAUGCAAAGUAGAACGUGAUCACCACUCAACCAUCUUUAACAUAAAAACGUACACUCCACGCUUGACUUGUAAAAGCUGGGCAUUUUCCAUGCUUUCAAGAAUGCUGAUCAAAUUAGCCACUCGGCCUUUGGCCGAGUGGUGAGAGCUGCUGCUCUCCAAUGUGGAGAGCAGCGGUUCGAACCCCCACAAUGCAUUGUGGGGGUAUUUCCUUCCUCAAUUAAAUUUGAGUGAAGGCAGUCUGCUUCCCUGCCCCAGUGCGAGGAGUAGACAUCCCUCGAAUAUUUGAGAGGGUUAAAAUCUGGGCAGCGCUCCAUUAGCAUUGAUGUAUGUUGGUCCUAGUUAUAGUCUGAUUUGUAAAUAUCAGUUAUAUUCUCAUGUAAUAUGAGUUGUACUUUGAGCAAUAGUCUCCUGUAAUUUGAGCAAUAGUCUCAUGUAAUCAAAAAAAAAAAAAAAAGAAUGCUGAUCAAAUUGGGGACGCAAUGGAUAAUUCUUGAUGAUUUAUUGGUUGACUGACUCUAUCACUAAUUUUAAAUUUAAAAAAUAUAGAAAAAUAUUUGAAAACCAAUAUUUUUACAUUUUUCCUUACAAGUUUGAAAUUUGAUUUCUAUAAUGAAAUAUUUCUAUUAGCUAUUAAAUUUAUCAUAAUUUUAGAAAGGCAUUUUUGAAAUAGUAAUUGAAACUCUUAGUUCAUGGUUUGAUGAUGAUGAAGGAUUGUCGUCUGAUUGCUGUGAUGAUUGGGAGGGAGUGAUGGAUCUCUUCUCAAUAAAUAAAAUAACGGAAUUCAACUCUUCCCAAUACUGGAAUAAAUUAUUUGAUUAUUUCAAACCCAAACUUACGCUUAAAUUUUGAAAAUGAUCUCAAUUAACUUUUUUUUUAUUAGUUGACUAUCUCAAUCAAUUGUUGACUAUCUCGAUCAACUGCUUCCAAGCUGGCUUGUUUUCCACGGCGUAUUAAUGAAGCAUUUUUCCUCAUUGGUCCAAGCCUUAUAAGUCUUCGUUAGUCAUUACAAUUCAAUGAGUGCACAGAUUAUUUGAUAAUUCAAUAGAAACGCAAUCACUCCCUUAAAUUAAUUAAAGGGAAAUUAUAAAGCCCUCCUCCUUUGGUUUAACCUAUCAGAAAUACUAAAAAGUUUGAAUUUAUUUAUUUUUCUUCUUAUGUUUUUAAUUUGUAUCAACCAACCAUCAAAAGAACAGAAAAAUUCAUACAAAAUUACCACUAUUGCCAUUUGUAUUUGUUUCUGUACUGUCAUUUCAUAAGUGUAAUUCUAUCUUUUUAUUAGAUGACGAAUACAAAUUGUAAACUUAAGGCAAAAAAUGAAUAAAUGAUAAACUUAAGACGGAUAGUUGAUAAUUUUCCUUAUCUAAAUUCUUAAUCAAUUUUUGUUUUAUAGCAUUGGCGGUCUCCAUCAAUUAGUAGAGGAAAAAUAAUAGACAGCCACUUGUUUGUUGCUUAAUUUGAAAGUCAAUCAGCUUUAAUUUUCCCCGGAAUUAUGGAUUUUGAAUGUUCAACCUUGUGCAUUUGCACUAGGAAUAUCAGUUAUGAAUGACGAAUGGAAUCCUCUGUUUUUAGUCUCUCUUCUCUCUUUUACUUUCUUUCACAGUUACAUUUUUUCUGCAAACAAAAAUUCAUUCACAUAUUUGUAAUUUAUCAUUAAUGUUAAAAAUUUCGGUGGCUAAUAACAUCCAAGAGUUGCGUGCAAUGGUCAUAUUGUGCUAAUGAUGAAUUAGCUUAUUUUUCUUUAGCCUUCCUCUAUCUUUCUUCGAGUACUGAUAUUUGAGCACUAUCAAGAAACCAUCAAGAUAGAAAAACGAGUAUUGUUUAUACUUCAAUACCACCAGAAUGCACAAAACGACGGUACCAGGCUAUAGUUUACUGCAUCUUUCUUUUAUGAGUAAUUGAACUUUUUAUGUAUUAAUUAUAGUUGGUUGCUUUCAAGCGGGGUUUAUGCCUUGUCGUGCAAUUCAUUUGCCAUAUGCAUCAGAAGAAUUUAUUGUGCAUCGUGUUCUUAAGACCAUGGAGUGAAGGCCUUAACAGAAGUAGCUCAAGAUGGCGCCAAAGUUAGUUACAUGUGACACGCGAGACAGUCUCUGUUAAUUAUUUUGAUUCACAAGCCAAAGAAUUAUAUUGAGCCUUGCACUCCUUUAAUUUAUUUUUUGAGCAUUUUCUCUGUGAACACAAGUUGGUUUCUAAGUUUUCCUUGACAUAUCUGUAAUUUAUCAUUAAUGUUGAAAUUUCGAAGGCUAAAAACAUCCGAAAGUUGUGCGCAAUUGUCAUAUUGAGUUAUUUUCUUUAGCUUUCCCCUCUUUUCCUUUUCAUUUUCCUUUACUUUUCCUUCAUUCAAAUUCGAUGAAUCAGCUUAUUUUUCUUUAGCAUUCCCUCUUUUCCUUUUCAUUUUCCUUUACUUUUCCUUCAUUCAAAUUCGAUGAAUCAGCUCAUUUUUCUUUAGCAUUCCCCUCUUUUCCUUUUCAUUUUCCUUUACUUUUCCUUCACUCAAAUUCUUUCACUGUGCGGCUGUGGUCCUCAAUUAUGAUAUUUACUAGUCGUGCGUUGAAUCUGGCUUUGAUUGAUGAUACGAUUGCUUGAUUGUGUUCAUAAGCUGGACUAUUGGUUAAUGUCAACACACAUCCUCUAUGUUCCAUCCUUCUUAGGAACUAGCAAAAUUGGAAUUGUGCACUGACUCAUGAUUUCUCUCACGUACCCUUUAUGACCCCUGUCCCCAGGUUAGUUGACAGAAUACGUCAAUCGAAGGUUGCCUUGCAGUGUGCGUGUUUGAUUAUAAUUAUCGUAGGAUAAGGACUCCCUGGUCACAAGUCAAUGAAAUUGCAGCAAGUCUCUGAUCAUUGGAUGCUAAUUUCCUCUUACUGGCGUAGACUAUGGUUUAAUAAAUAUUUCGUAAAUUUCCUCAUCGCUUCCUAUGUCACAAUGAUAUUGGUGUAGCCGGUGACUUUGGAUAAACUCAUAUUGGCGUACAUUAUGGUUUUAUUAUUAAUUGAUGGACGUACUAAUUCAUGUUUCUAUUGGCUUUGCAAAAAGAAAGAAAUCUCACUUUAUUGUAAAAUAUACAAGCCCUUAUACACACCGGAGAAAUUUCUACCAAUACUGUACUAUACUUGUAAAGAGAGUUCAAAGAGCCAUAUUAGCACUUCCUGGAACUAUAUUAUUCAUCAAUUUUUUUAUACUAAUAAUAAUUUUUUUUUUUUUAGUUUGAGUACUUCAUAUCUCUGAAUACAUAUAUAUAUUACCAGUCAAAGAUAUUUAAUUCACAUUUAACAUUAGCCAAAUAAAAAGUUGUUUUGCAAUGGAAGUACUUCCUUCAUUAAGUUCUCAUUAACGUCACUACUUUGGAUUAAUGUUGUUCUGGAUGAAAUGCAUGGAUGCAAAGCUUGCUUAGAAAUCAAAAGCUUCUUCAUAUCAGCUAUUGAUAUUGGAUACGAUGACGAAGCUCUUAGUUCAUGGUUUGAUAAUGAUGAAGGAAUGUCGUCUGAUUGCUGUGAUGAUUGGGAAUGAGCGAUGGAUCUCUUCUCAAUAAAAUAACGGAAUUCAACUCUUCUCAAUACUGGAAUAAAUUAUUUGAUUAUUUCAAACCCAAACUUACGCUUAAAUUUUGAAAAUGAUCUCAAUUAACUUUUUUUUUAUUAGUUGACUAUCUCAAUCAAUUGUUGACUAUCUCGAUCAACUGUUCCAAGCUGGCUUGUUUUCCACGGCGUAUUAAUGAAGCAUUUUUCCUCAUUGGUCCAAGCCUUAUAAGUCUUCGUUAGUCAUUACAAUUCCAUGCUUGCAUAGAUUAUUUGAUAAUUCAAUGCAAAUCCAAGUAUACAAUUUAAUAGAAACCCAAUCACACCCUUAAAUUAUUUAAAGGGAAAUUAUAAAGCCCUCCUCCUUUGGUUUAGCCUGUUAUCAGAAAUACUAAAAAAAUUGAAUUUAUUUAUUUUUCAUCUUAUGUUUUUAAUUUGUAUCAACCAUUUAUGAAAAGGACGUAAAAAUUCAUGCAAAAUUACCACUAUUGCUAUUUGUGUUUGUUUCUAUAUUGUCAUUUCAUAAGUGUAAUUCUAUCUUUUUAGUAGAUGACUAAUACGAAUCACAAACUUAAGGCGAAAAAUGAAUAAAUGAUAAACUUAGGACGGAUAAUUGAUAAUUUUCCUUAUUUAAAUUCUUAAUCAAUUUUUGUUUUACAGCAUCGGCGGUCUCCAUCAAUUGGUAGAGGAAAAAUAGUAGACAGCCAAUUGUUUGUUGCUUAAUUUUCCAGUCAAUCAGCUUUAAUUUUCGAGAAAUUUACACCAAUAGCCAUAAAAAUUUUGGCUUUUUCCAUCUUAACCCCCCAAACAAACUUCUAUCAACAUUACUACAUUAGCCAUAAAAAAGCCUUUGAGGCCAAAAUACCCCUCUCUCUCAUCUCCACAAUGUUGGUGAGCUUGCCUUGGCGCAACAACUCGCCGAUUCUGUCAAGCCUUUAAAUCAGCCAUGGCGGCAGUAGAAACACGCUCCAUUUCGGAAAUGGCGUCGUCAGAGAUUCUGGACUCGGUUUCACUGACCUCGUAAUCUUCAAGAUCAGAGAAGCUCACUCUGGAGGCCCUGGAAGAGGAGACGGAGACAGACUCAUGGUCGAGAUACUCUCCGUUGAUCUUCAGCAUCUGAUAAAACUCCCUUUUCGAGUCUUUUCAUGGUGGUUUGCAUUAGGGUUUGGGCGAGGACGAGCUUGUCAGAAAUAGUGCAUGGCGAUCUGCAAGUCGUAGACGGCUUUGAGGUAGUCCUUGGCGUCUUGGCAGUUGUCGGAGGAGAAGAGAGAAGAGAUGUUGCAUCAUAGAGAGGUAUCGUCCCAUUUGGUGAUGAGAGAGCGGGCAAUUUGGAUGUUCUCGUCCAUUAAAGAAUCGGAGAAUGUGACCCGUUGAGGCGACGAUGAAGGUGUGCCCGCCGUCAGAGAUGUGGAUGGUUUGAAGAAUAUGUCGCACUGCACCUGUCGCACCAAGCAAGGCUUUGCGCUUGGUGCGACAGGUGCCUGUCGCUCGAAGCUUCGUGCGACAGGCAACCUGUCGCCAGAUUCACCCCGACUCACAGUUCACUGAAACUCUCGAGCAAGUUCAGAAAAUAACUCAUACCACUAUGUGAUGCCGAUUAGUGUUGGAUCCGGAUAGAUUAUUAUCAGAUUUCACUUUUAUCGUUGCCUUUUGCUGUCGCUGUUGGUUGAUGAUUCAAGAGUGGAAAGCUACCUUUGGUUUGACGAAAGGGGAGAAAAAAAGUUGCUUUUGGUUUGUAAAGAAGGGUAAUUUGGGAAGAAAAGCGUGUGUUUGGCUAAUGUUGAUAGAAAAAAGUUGAGAGGGUUAAUUGUGAAAAUAGCAAAAAUUUUAUGGUUAUUUUUGUAAAUUUCCCUUAAUUUUCCCCGUAGUUGUAAUAAUAUAUGGGAAAUUUGAUAAAUUGAACCUCUGUACAUCUGUCCCAAGUUCCUAUGAAAUUUCUCUUUUUGUCAUUUCAAGUGAUUGUAAUAGUAGUAGAGUUGCAGAUUGAGAACAAUCGAAACUUAAUUUCCCUAUUAAGGUUUACCAAUAUAUUUGAUUUUAAUAGCUUUGAUUCAAAUGCAUGAACUUGAGGAGUCACAAAAGCUUCAAAUAACAUUUAUGUGUUGGUCAUUUUAUAGUACAUCACACUUUUAUGAGUAAUUAAACUAAUAAAUUAAACUUAUCAAACAUCCAAACAAAUUCUUCACAAAACAUAUUAUUUAAUAGAUUAACUGAUAAUCCAAUGCAAACCCAGAUAUAAGGAUAAAUUAUUUAAAUUCCCUCACACAACUUUUAUUUUAUUAGUCACGACUAUCUCCAUCCAACUGUUGGAGAAAAUAUACACUUUUAUGAGUAAUUAAACUAAUAAAUUAAACUUAUCAAACAUCCAAACAAAUUCUUCACAAAACAUAUUAUUUAAUAGAUUAACUGAUAAUCCAAUGCAAACCCAGAUAUAAGGAUAAAUUAUUUAAAUUCCCUCACAUAACUUUUAUUUUAUUAGUCACGACUAUCUCCAUCCAACUGUUGGAGAAAAUAUAGUUUACAGUCGCUUGUUUGUUGGCUUAAUUCGAGGGUCCCUCAACUUUAAUUUUUUUUUUACGGAGUAUUAGUGAAGUUCUUUUUUUUUUUUUCUCCUCGGUCGAUGUUGCAAUAUAUAUGUAAUUUCAAGGUUACAAGUCUUCACCAAAGACAAAGACUUCAAGAUAGCGGUGUUAUAAUGUAUCGACAAUAUUUUGUCUUUAAUAACCCUCUAAAACAAAAGUAAGAUAAUCAAGUACUUUUAUUACUUGAUAUCUCCAAGAUGUUUUAUUUUCGUUAGAUUGAGUGGUUGGUAAUCUUCAGCCAAUCAAAUUGCAAGGUCCACGAUGAUAAAUGUUUAGUAUAAAUAUUGAAGUUUCCUCGUUGCAAAUUUUAUAUUAACCAAAUGAAAAGUUGCUUUGCUGCAAUGGAAAGUACUUCCUUUGUUAAGUUCUCAUUAAUUUCACUAAUUUGGAUUAUUUUUUUGAUGAAUGAAAUGCAUGGAUACAAAGCAUGCUUGCAAACAGAGAGGACUGCUCUGUUGGAACUCAAGAGCUUCUUCAUAUCAGUCAGCGAUGUUGGAUAUGAUGACAAAAUUCUUCCUUCAUGGGUUGAUGAUGGAAUGUCGUUUGAUUGUUGUGAUGAUUGGGAGGGAGUUAAGUGCAACACCACCACACGACGGGUGAUGCAACUCUCACUCAAUUGGACAACAAUGUUCAACGACACUAAAUAUAGCUCUUUUUAUUAUGGAGCUUUGCUUCUGAAUAUGUCAUUGUUUCAUCCUUUCGAAGAAUUGCAGAGCCUCGACUUAUCUGAUAAUUGCUUUAAAGGCUUCUAUGAGAGCAAAGGUACAUGUAUAUAUAUGUAUAUAUUUCUCGUGAAAAUUAUAAAAAUUAAUCCUUCAUAUGCAUUUGCAGUUUACGAUAGCUUUGAGGGUUUAAAACAGCUAAAGAUCUUAAAACUUAGUGACAAUUUCUUCACCGACAGCAUAUUACCACAUUUGAAUACGCUAACUUCACUUACCACUCUGAAUCUUCGUUCCAAUAACAUUGAAGGUUCCAGAAUCAAGCAAGGUAUAUAUGUUUGAGGCAAGCAGAAAUGCAUGUCAGGCAAGUUAAUCUCUUCAAAUAUUUAUGUAUAUUGUUUUGAUCAAAAUUAAUGUUUACUGAGCAGGAUUAGCAGAUUUGAGAAACUUGCAAGUGUUGGAUCUAAGCUGGAACCUCAAUCUAACAAGUGGCUCUUUAUCAAGGCUAGGUAAGCUACUGGGAUAAAACCAAACAACCACACUGAUCACAGCCUUACUACAAUAAUUUUGAAGUAAUAUUUUAUUUAUUUAUUUAUUUUUUUAUUGAUGUAGGAUUGGCAAAUUUGACAAACUUGAAAACAUUAGAUCUUGGUGGUUCUGAAAUAACUACACUUCAAGGUAUACCACAACAAUCAUCACUUCCUAUAAAUUUCCCAGUUUUUUUUUUUUUGGGUAAUAUUAUGGCCUUUCAUUUUUCAAUCUGCUGUUUGAGUACAUCAACUUAGUUGAAUCUCAAUUAAACUAAGUUGACUAAUUACAACCAUCUGCUUUAUUAUAAUUUUUAAAUCUGAUUUUGAAUUCCCAUUCUUCAUUCUUUUGAUUCUAAUGCCUAAUUGACUAAUUCCAACUAGAUCAAAUUUGAAUUAGAAUCACUGCUUUCUUUACAAAGUUUAGUACUUGACAUACUGGAUCGCCAUUUUCUGAUAUAACCCGCUCAUUUCUUUCACUCUCUCCUAAUUCUGAAUAUUUUUUAUAAAAAAGUCAACAAUGAUAUUUAUCUUUAUUUCAAUAUUUAUAGUUCUAAAUGAAAAAAGAUUUUUUUUUAUCUUUUGUUCAUUAAAUAUUGAUGUAGGAUUAGCUAAAUUCAAAAACUUGGAAGCAUUGAAUUUGAGUAAUAGUAAUACAAAAAAAUUCUCUAGAAACCCAAAUUAAACAAUUUACACGGCAUUUUUAUGUUGAAACAUGAUAAAUAAGAGCACAAUAUUGUUUUCUAAUUGCUGUUUUCACAAAAUAAAAAUGAAAAUGAAAAUGUUAUUUUUAAAUUUAUUUUUAAAAUUUAAAAAUGUGUUCGGUAUCAUUUCAAAAUAAAUCUCAAAAAAUAAGAAAAAGAAAAACGUGUUUGGUAAGAAUAUUUUAAAGAAUUAUUUUUGGAAUAAUAAUAAUUUCCAUAAACUUAAGAUUAAGCAAGGUAUAUUGAUUAUUUUAAUUUUAAGAAUAAAUUAGGUGAUCUUGCUAUUAAUUUUUUUGUUCAAAGAAAAAUGAUAAACUCUACAUAUUUGAUUUAAUUAAUAUAUAAAAACAUAAAUAUUAUAAUGUAUAUAAAAAGAAAAGAUUAUUGUUAGGGAAAUUGAUUUUUUGGUAGUAUAAUGAUAAUAAUAAUAAUAAUAAUAAUAAUAAUAAUAAUAUAAAGGGUUAAUUACCUGUGAGUGACACAUGUUUUAACAAAUUUCAAAAAGAUGAUACAUUUUUUAAAAAUAUUCGAGUGGGUGAUAUUCUAUUAACUUUUGCCGUUAAUUUUAAUGAGAAUAGUAAAUUAGUUACAAAAUGACAUGUCUACCCUUACAAUUAAUUAUAAAAAUGGCAUUCUUUCUCUUACAAUUAGUUACAAAAUGAUCUUUUUACCCCUACCAUUAGUUACAAAUGAUAUUUCUGCCCCUACUCACUUAUUUUUAAUUUUUUAAAUAGAAAAUUAUAUAAAAAAUUAAACGGAAGUCUAAUUAACAGGUAUUUUUUGGUUAAAUCAAAUAAUUUUUUUAAAAAAAAUUCUUGUUGAAUCAAACUGAUUUGUGAAUAUAAAAAAGUAGAAAUCUUAUGAAUUAUAAAGUAUUGUAUAAAUUCAAUAUUUUAAUCUCUUUGGCUUUAUUUUAAAAAAAAAAAUCUAUUUUUUCAAUUCUACCCUUGGUCGAUUAAAUUUAAUGGCAAGGAUAAACAAUGUCACACACUCGAGUGUUUUCAAAGCAUGUGUCACCUUUUAAAAAUUUGUCAAAACAUGUGUCAUCCAGGAGUAAUUGUUAUUAAUAAUAAUAGUAAUAAUAAUAGCAUUUCAAGAGGUGGUAAAGAAAAUUUUUCACUUUGGAACUUAAUACUGCAUUGGGAAAUAAGGAAAACAAGAAAAACUUGUUUCUCAUUUCCUUUGUUAAAAUGUGUAGAAUGAAUUUUAUAUUUUUAAAAAUGUUUUCAUAAACAAUCUACCGAGUACAUAUCUAAUAUUUUCUAAAUUCAAAAAAUAAAAAACAGGAUAUAAAAACAUUACCAAAACACCCAAUAUUUGCAUUACUGAUACACAAUUCCUACUUCCUAGUGACUUGUUGGUCAAAGUACCUUGACAAAAUUAAAUAUGAAGAGCAGUUCUUUUUUUCUUUUUUUUUUGUUUUUCGCCCGUUUAGACAAAUGGUUUUGUUUAAUACUAUGAGACGAAUAAAUAAAGUUUAAGAAAACAACUAAAAUAUUAUGAUUUUCUCUUUAUAUUAUCCAAGAAAUUUAAAGAUUAGAGAACCAAUAUCCAAAGAAAAAGAUGAAGUGAACAAACUCUUCCGCAGAAAAUCAUUAUUUUAGACAACAAGAAUUGCUGAAACGCUUUUUGAAUUGAUUAUGAUGAGCAAGACUUGCUGAGUGCUUUUUUAUUAUUAUUAUGUUUUUUGUUAGAUUAAUUGAAAUGCUUUUGCAAUCAACAUCAUAUUAUAUGAGAAAUAAAUUCAUAUCAUUCUAUUAUUAUUUAUGUUGACCAAAAUACUUAGACAAUUUGAUUUCAUGUCCGUUUUAUAAGUCUUAUAUUGGAUUUAUGAUUGAAUGCGCUAUAAUUAGUUUUUGUUUUAUGAAAUCUGAGUUUUUUAUUUUCAGGCUCAGGAAUAUGUAAUUUGAAGAAUCUUUUCGAGUUGGAUCUAAGCUCAAAUAACUUUAAGGGUCACCUUCUUCAGUGUCUCAACAACUUGACCCAUCUCAAAGUUCUUGAUAUUUCUACUAAUCAAUUAAGUGGAAACUUUCCUUCUUCGUUGACAAAUCUCACAUCACUUGAAUAUUUGGAUCUCUCUUUCAUCAGUUUCCAAGAAACAUUCUCAAUAAAUUCAUUGGCCAAUCAUUCAAAGCUUGAGGUCCUGCUACUCUCGUCAGGAAACGAUAUGUUGGAAGUGAAAACUGAAAACUGGCUCCCCACAUAUCCUCUCAAGGUUCUCCAAUUAUCUCACUGCCACUUAAAUGUCAAUCCCAGUUUUCUUUUACACCAACACCACUUAAAAUUCCUUGAUCUCUCUCAAAAUCAGUUGGUUGGCAAUUUCCCAACUUGGUUGUUGCAAAAUAACACAGGAUUAGAAGUUUUGAUUUUGCGGAAUAACUCAUUCUCAGGAAUUCUUCCCCGACUUCCCAAUGCCAAAUACGAUAACCUUCGUCAUCUAGACAUUUCCAUUAACAAUUUCUCUGGUAAGCUGCCAGAGAAUUUGGGUAUUGUCUUUCAAAAAUUGAUAUAUUUGGAUAUGUCAAAAAAUAGUUUUGAAGGUAAUAUUCCUUAUUCAAUCAGUGAGAUGAAAGAGCUAAUUACUUUGGAUUUGUCUAGAAAUAAUUUUUCAGGAGAAUUACCUCGACCUAUAGUCUCUAGUUGCCUCUCCUUAAAUAUAUUGGACCUAUCAAAUAACAAUUUCUAUGGCCAACUUUUUCCCAAUUAUAUGAACUUGACUCAUUUGCAUUCGUUACAUUUGGACAACAAUCAUUUCAGAGGGAAGAUAACAGAUGGUUUAUUGAGCUCCACUUUGCUAGAGGUAUUAGAUGUAUCCAACAACAUGUUAUCCGGUGAUUUUCCCCAUUGGAUUGGCAACUUCUCAAGCCUUUGGCUUCUUUUAAUGUCAGAAAAUUAUUUGCAAGGUAUUAUUCCGGUCCAGCUCAACAAUCUUGAAAUUCUUGAGUUUAUAGACAUCUCCGAAAAUAGUUUGUCUGGGUCCAUGCUAUCUCCCUCCAAUCUUACAAAUUUGAAGCACAUUUAUCUGGAUAACAAUGCAAUUAAUGGGUUAAUUCCAAUUGCAUUGCUUAGAAGCUCUACAUUAUUGACUCUAGAUUUGAGGGACAAUAAACUUUUUGGUAGGAUUCCUCAUCAGAUCAAUGAGCUUUCGAAUUUGCAUGUUCUUCUUUUGAGAGGGAAUUCUCUACAAGGACGUAUUCCUAAUCAAUUGUGCCAAUUAAGGAAAUUUGGUAUCAUGGAUCUUUCACAUAACAGACUUAAUGGACCAAUACCUUCAUGCCUGGAUAACAUGUCAUUCUGGAGAGAAGCGACUGAUGAUGAUUCGUAUGAAUAUGAAUCACUUCGUGCGUAUAUGUUUUUAAAUAGUGAUUCCCCUCUAAUUUAUUACAAUUCUACCCUUGAUCUGCAACCGCGAAUUGAACUGCAUCCUAAAAUAGAUAAACGAGUAGACGCGGAAUUUGCGACAAAGAAUAGAUAUGAAUUUUUCAUCGGUCGCAAUCUCAACUACAUGGCUGGACUGGAUUUGUCGAGCAAUGAGUUCAGUGGAGAAAUUCCAUGGGAAAUUGGGCAUCUUCAAAAUAUUCGUGCACUUAAUCUGUCCAAUAAUUUACUAUCAGGUGCUAUACCAGAGAGCUUCUCCAAUCUAAAAAUGAUAGAGAGCCUGGACAUUUCCUGCAACAAAUUAAGUGGCCGAAUUCCUCAACUAACUGAGCUCAACUUUUUAUCAAACUUCAACGUGUCAUACAACAAUUUGUCCGGCCCAAUCCCAGACAAAGAGCAGUUUGGCACGUUUGAUGACAGCAGUUAUAAAGGUAAUUCGGCUCUUUGUGGCUCAAUGAUAAAGAGGAAAUGCAGCAGUGCAUUGACACCACCAGCGACACCUGCAGGAGGAGGAGAUGAAGAGGAUUCUGUGAUUGAUAUGGUGGCAGUAAGAUGGAGUUUUGGAGCAUCCUAUGUGUCAGUGAUUUUGGGUUUAUUUGCAGCACUUUGGAUAAACUCGUACUGGCGCAAACUUUGGUUCUAUUUCAUUGAUAGAUGUAUUGACACAUGCUACUAUUGGCUUUUCAAAUAUGUUUUCCAUCGGUGAUUGUGUUUACCAGCAGAACUUAUUGUGCCGUGUUAUGUCUCCAUUGGCUUUUCUCCCAACAGCAAUGUAUCCAUGUUUGUGUUUGUUCAAAUUCUCAAUUUGGUUACUACACUCAUGUUUCCAAUUUCCUUUAAUUGGCUGCAUUAGGAUUAGACUUACGGCUUCUUCUUCAGUUUCUGUUGGUUGCAAAUUUAAAUUGAAUAAGGAAUUUUUCCAACUACUAUGUUUGUUGUAAUAUCAUUAGUGCAGCAACUUCAGCUGCAAAUGUAAGCUAUCAGUGGGUCAAUUCAACUCCAUUCCCAACGUAUUGUUCACACGCACUAACCAAAUACCAAAUAAUUUGAGGCAUAAUUAUCUACAAAUCUCAGUCUAAAACAUUAAAACCCAUUAUAGAACAGCAUCACAGAUUUCUUCAUGAGGAAAAUCGCCCAAUUAAUUUAUCAUCAUUUAUUGAUCAAAACAAAAUCUCUUAACAAAACAAGAAACCGAUUUGUACAAAUAUUAUAUUAGAACAUCUAGAGAGGAUAUCUAAAAUGAUACAAUCAAGUAUUGAUUAAAACUUGCUCCAAAUUUUAACCAUUUCUACAACGGUAACAUUCACUAACAAAUGUUUUGAAUAAACUUACUCAUAUUAUGUUAUAAACUUAUUCAUGUCAUACUUGUGUCAUUUUAACUUAUUUUUUUUGACACAUUUGUUAUUUUUAAAUUAAUUUUUAAUAUCUUCAAAAAAAAUAUUAAACAAGUCAACACGAUUAAUAUGUUUGUUUUGUGUUUUUGUUCUCUCUUCGUUUGUGUCUGUGUUUUCGUAAACUUUCUUUUGUUGUUGUUCUGUUGUGUGUAUGUAGUAAAUGUGUUUUAUAUUUUGUGUGUAGAUAUUGAUGUCUUAUUUUUCUUUGAAUUUGUGACAGUGGGAAAACUGAAUUUUUGCAGAUGAAGAGGCAACCGGUAGCAAAAAGAACCCGUACUCAAACAAAUCGUAUGAUUGAGGAGAAGUAUAAAAAACUUAAGGAAAAUAAAGGACAAGAAAAAUAUGGGACUGAAUCGUCUAGUUCUAAGGUUAAUGAAUCAUCCAGUUCUAAGGAUGAUGAAUGUGUCAAAGUAUUUGAAAUGGACAAUGUGAGUGACAAGGAGGAGAAGGAGGAGGGGACUAGAUCAAAACAAGUUAAUGAUGAUUGUGGUGGUUUUUUGUCAGAAUCAGAAAGUGACAAUGAUGGAAGUGAUCCUUUAAGGCCAAUUAUAGUGGAUUGUUGUCCUGAAGAAGAUUUGGAUUUAGAUGCAGAGAAUAGUAGUUUGGGGUCAAAGACAACUGAUGAGUAUGUAAUUAAUGAUGAUUACGUGGAUGAUGGUGAUGAUGACGGUGAGAAGGAGGAGGAGGAGGAGAGGGAAACUGAUGAUGAAAGUUUACUGGAAGCGCGUACGAAAAAUAAGGGGAAAUUAAAAAAGUCAACCAAGGGAAAGCACAACCGUGUGCUGAAACAUGAUCAUGUUGAAAGAAUUAUUCUGAAAUCCAUUUUGAAUACGGAAGAAACUCCCUCAGAAGAUUAUCCAUCUUCCAGCAGAGAGGUUUUAAGAGACGAGAUGAGUCAAUCAUUCAAUGAUGAUGAGGAGUCAACUUCAUCAGAGAAAUCAGAGUGUGAUGAUGGCUUGGGUUAUCUCUGGGCUGAGAUGGACUUUGCUCGCAAAGUCAGCGAGCUGCAUUCCGCUAACUCUCCCAUCGUAUCUCGAGUUUGUAAUUUGAUUGAGCACAAAAGCAUUAUAUUAGGAUUGUUUUUAUUGAUUUAAGUUUUUAUAUUCUUUCUUAGAUUGCAUUGUAACCUAUUAUUGUUUCCUGUUGGCUGCUUGACAAUGUUAUUCAUAAAUUACUCUGUGAACAAGUAUUGGCGAUUAGAUUUUAAGCAAUGUCAUUAUCAUCCUUAUUGUAAUUAAAAAGUAAAAAACAGGCUUACUCUUUUUUCUUUUUCAGGUGUAGGCUUUAGUUUAAAGGAUAUACAUGUUGAUUUAAUAGAUUUAAUUGAGGUUCCAACUUCAAAUUUAUAUGUCGUAGACAGAAGUGAAAUUGCUCUGUAGUAAUUAGUAUACCUAUUGCUCUUUAUUCUUUAAAUUACUUCUAAGUUUUAUGAACUUCUAUUUUACAUCAGAGGCUUAUGGAAUAAAUUGAUGAUGCAAGGGUCAAAUGCAUGACUUUGUUGCUGUACUAUAUUAUAUUGAUUCAUAUUCUUAAUUGUGAUCAUUUAGCAUGAAAAUAUGAUUGUUGAACUGAUGAGGCAUAUGCUAUAGUUAACAAAUUUAUGAUUGUUUUAGCUAAUCAAAUUCAUUAUAUUUUUGUUUAUUGUUAUUUGCAUUUAUGACAAAGAUGCUUGACUUUGUUGCUGCCCUAAAUUAUCUUUAUUCAUAUUCUUAAAUGUGAUUUUUAGUAAUAAAAAUAUGUUUGUUGUACCGUUAAGGUAUAUAUGUUCAUCAUUAGUGUUAACAAAUUUAUGAUUGUUUUAGCUGAUUAAGUCUAUUCCUCCAAUGACAAAAAUUGUUUUAGAUGUUAAUCAAGAUGAUAAUAUAUUUCCAUUUUUUUAAUUGCUUUAAACUAGAUAAAAUUUAAAUUAGAAGCACUGCUUUCUAUACAAAGUUUAGUACUUGAUAUACUCUAUCACCAAUUUCCGACAUAACCCGCUCAUUUCUUUCACUCUCUCUUAAUUCUAAAUCAUUUCUAUAAAAAAAUCAACAAUGAUAUUUAUCUUUAUUUCAAUAUUUAUAGUUCUGAAUGAAAUUUUUUUUUCUUCUUAGGCUCAUUAAUUCUUGAUGCAAGAUUAGCUAAAUUCAAAAGCUUGGAAGCAUUGAAUUUGAGUAAUAGUAACAUAAAAAAUUCUCUAGAAACCCAUAUUAAUCAAUUUACACUGUGUUUUUAUGUUGAAACAUGAUAAAUAAGAGCCCAAUAUUGUUUUCUAAUUGGUUUUUUUUUUACAAAAUAAAAAUGAAAAUGCUAUUUUUAAAUUUAUUUUUAAAAUUUAAAAAUGUGUUCAGUAUCAUUUUCAAAAAUAAUCUCAAAAAUGAGAAAAACAAAAAUAUGUUUGGUAAGAAUAUCUCAAAGAAUUAUUAUUGGAAUAAUUUCCAUAAACUUAAGAUUAAGCAAUGUAUAUUGAUUAUUUUAAUUUUAAGAAUAAAUUAGGUGAUCUUUCUAUUUUUUUGUUCAAAGAAAAAUGAUAAACCCUACAUAUUUGAUCUAGUUAAUAUAUAAAAACAUAAAUAUUAUAAUGUAUAUAAAAAGAAAAGUUUUUUGUGAGGGAAAUUGAUUCUUUGGGUACAACAACAACAACAACAAUAAGAAUAAUAAUCUCUAGGUGACAUAUGUUUUAACAAAUUUUAAGAAGAUGACAUAUUUUUUUAAAAUAUUCGAACGAUUGACAUUCUAUUAACUUUUGCCAUUAAUUUUAAUAAGAAUAGUAAAUUAAAUGAUGUUUCUACCCCACAAAAUGAUGUUUCUACCCAUACUCACUCAUUUUUAAUUUUUUAAAUAGAAAAAUAUAAAAAAAUUAAACAUAAGUCUAAUUAACAGGUUUUUUUUUGUAAAUCUAAUAACUUUUAAAAAAAUUCUUGUUGAUCAAACUGAUUUGUGAAUAUAAAGAAGCAAAAAUCUUAUGAAUUAUAAAGUAUUGUAUAAAUUCAAUAUUUUCAUCUCUUUGGCUUUAUGAAAAAAAAAUAUAUUUUUCCAAUUCUACCCUCGGCUGAUUAAAAUUAACAGCAAAAGUUAAUGGAAUGUCACCCACUCAAGUGUUUUCAAAACAUGCGUCAUCUUUUUGAAAUUUAUUAAAAUAUGUGUCACCCAGGGAUAAUUAAACCUAAUGAUGAUAAUAAUAAUAAUAAUAAUAAUGUUGAUAUUAUUAUUAUUUCAAGAGGAGAUAAAGAGAAUUCUUAAUUUUGGAACUUAAUAUUGUAUUGGAAAAUAAGGAAAAUAAGAAAAAGUCGUUUCUCAUUUCUUUUGUUAAAAUGUGUAGAAUGAAUUUUAUAUUUUAAAAAAUAUUUCAGAAACAAUCUACCGAACACGUAUCUAAUAUUUUCUAAAUUCAAAAAAUAAAAAACAGCAUAUAAAAACAAUGCCAACGCACCCAAUAUUUGCAUUACUGACACACAAUUCCUACUUCCCAGUGACUUGUUGGUCAAAGUACUUUGCCGAAAUUAAAUAUGAAGACCAGUUUUUUUUUUUUUCCGCUUGGGCAAAUAGUUUUGUUUAAUGCUAUGAGAAGAAUAAAUAAAGUUUAAGAAAACAACUAAUAGAUUAUGAGUUUCUCUUUACAUUAUCCAACAAAUUUAGAGAUUAGAGAACCAAUAUCCAACGAAAAACACGAAGUCAACAAACUCUUCCGCAGAAAAUCAUUAUUUUAAACAAUGACAAUUGCUUAAACGCUUUUUGAAUAGAUUAUGAUGAGCAAGAAUUGCUGACUGCUUUUAUAUUAUUAUUAUUAUUUUAUUGUUAGAUUAAUUGAAACGCUUUUGCAAUCAACAUCAUAUUAUAUGAGAAAUAAAUUCAUAUCAUUCUAUUAUUAUUUAUGUGUACCAAAAUACUUAGACAAUUUGAUUUCUUGUCCGUUUUAUAAGUCUUAUAUUGGGUUCAUGAUUGAAUGCACUAUAAUUAGUUUUCGUUUUAUGAAAUCUGAGCUUUUUAUUUUCACUUUCAGGAAUAUGUAAUUUGAAGAAUCUUCUUGAGUUGGAUUUAAGCUCAAAUAGCCUUGAGGGUCACCUUCCUCGGUGUCUCAACAACUUGACCCAUCUCAAAGUUCUUGAUAUUUCUUACAAUCAGUUAAGUGGAAACUUUCCUUCUGCCUUGACCAACCUCACAUCACUUGAAUAUUUGGAUCUCUUUUUCAUCGAUUUCCAAGGAACAUUCUCAAUAAAUUCAUUGGCUAAUCAUUCAAAGCUUGAGGUCUUGCGACUCUCGUCAGGAAACGAUAUGUUGCGAGUGAAAACCGAAAACUGGCUCCCCACAUAUCCUCUCAAGGUUCUCCAAUUAUCUCACUGCCACUUAAAUGUCAAUAAUAGUUUUCUUUUACACCAACACCACUUAAAAUUCCUUGAUCUCUCUCACAAUCAGUUGGUUGGCAAUUUCCCAACUUGGUUGUUGCAAAACAACACAGGAUUAGAAGUUUUGAUUUUGUGGAAUAACUCAUUCUCAGGAAUUCUUCCCCGACUUCCCAAUGCCAAAUACGAUAAGCUUCGUUAUCUAGAUAUUUUCACUAACAAUUUCUCUGGUACGGUACCAGAUAAUUUGGGUAUUGUCUUUCAGAAAUUGAUAUAUUUGGAUAUGUCAAAAAAUAGUUUUGAAGGUAAUAUUCCUUAUUCAAUCAGUGAGAUGAAAGAGCUAAGUACUUUGGAUUUGUCUAGAAAUAAUUUUUCAGGAGAAUUACCUCGAUCUAUACUCUCUAGUUGCCUCUCCUUAGAAAUGUUGGACCUAUCAAAUAACAAGUUCUAUGGCCAACUUUUUCCCAAUUUUAUGAACUUGACUCAGUUGAGUUCCUUACUUUUGGACAACAAUCAUUUCAGUGGGAAGAUGACAGAUGGUUUGUUGAGCUCGCCUUUGCUGGGGAUAUUAGAUGUAUCCAACAACAAGUUAUCCGGCGAUAUUCCCCACUGGAUUGGCAACUUCUCACACCUUUGGCUUCUUUUAAUGUCAGAAAAUUAUUUUCAAGGUAGUAUUCCGGUCCAGCUCGGCAAUCUUGAAAGUCUUGGGUUUAUAGACAUCUCCGAAAAUAGUUUGUCUGGGUCCAUGGUAUCUCUCUCCAGUCUUUCAUCAGUGGAGCACAUUUAUCUGCAUAACAAUGCAAUUAAUGGGUUAAUUCCAAUUGCAUUGCUUAGAAGCUCUACAUUAUUGACUCUCGAUUUGAGGGACAAUAAACUUUUUGGUAGGAUUCCUCAUCAGAUCAAUGAGCUUUCGAAUUUGCAUGUUCUUCUUUUGAGAGGGAAUUAUCUACAAGGACGUAUUCCUAAUCAGUUGUGCCAAUUAAGAAAAUUAGGUAUCAUGGAUCUUUCACAUAACAGACUUAAUGGGCCGAUACCUUCAUGCUUGGGUAACGUGUCAUUCUGGAGAGAAGCGAUUGAUGAUUAUUCAUAUGAUUCCACUCUUGAUCGGCAGCCGCAAGGUAAACCACAUGGUGGAAUAGAUCAAAAAGUAGGUGUAGAAUUUGUGACAAAGUAUAGAUAUGAAUUUUUCAUCGGUCUCAAUCUCGUCGACAUGGCUGGAUUGGAUUUGUCGAGCAAUGAGUUCAGUGGAGAAAUUCCAUGGGAAAUUGGGCAUCUUCAACAUAUUCGUGCACUUAAUCUGUCGAAUAAUUUACUAUCAGGUGCUAUACCAGAGAGCUUCUCCAAUCUGAAAAUGAUAGAGAGCCUGGACCUUUCCCGCAACAAAUUAAGUGGCCGAAUUCCUCCUCAACUAACUGAGCUCAACUUUUUGUCAAACUUCAACGUGUCAUACAACAAUUUGUCCGGCCCAAUCCCAGACAAAGAGCAGUUUGCCACCUUUGAUGACAGCAGUUAUGAAGGUAAUUCGGCUCUUUGUGGCUCAAUGAUAAAGAGGAAAUGCAGCAGUGCGUUGGCACCACCAGCGACACCUACAGGAGGAGGAGAAGAUGAAGGCGAUUCUGUGAUUGAUAUGGUGGCAUUAAGAUGGAGUUUUGGAGCAUCCUAUGUGUCAGUGAUUUUGGGCUUCUUUGCAGCACUUUGGAUAAACUCGUACUGGCGCAGACUGUGAUUCUAUUUCAUUGAUAGAUGUAUUGACACGUGCUACUAUUGGCUUUUCAAAUACGGUUCUGCCGUGUAUAACUUAUCGUGAUGUAUUAUGUAUCCGUUGGCUUUUCUCCAAACAGCUACGUAUCCAUGUAUGUGUUUGUUCAAAUUCUCAAUCUGGUUCCAAAACUACACUCAUGUUUCCAAUUUCGUUUAAUUGGUUGCAUUAUGAUUAGACUUACGGCUUCUUCUUCAGUUUCUGUUGGUUGCAAAUUUAAAUUUAAUAAGGAAUUUUGCCAUCUAGUACGUUAGUUGUAAUAUCAUCAGUGCAGCAACUUCAACUGCAAAUCUAAGCUAUCAGUAGGUCAAUUCAACUCCAUUCCGAAUGUAUUGUUCACACGCACCAACCAAAUACCAAAUAAUUUGAGGCAUAAUUAACAACAAAUCCCAGUCUAAAACAUUAAAACCCAUUAUAGAAUAACAUCACAGAUCUCUUGAUGAGGAAAAUCGCCCAAUUAAUUUAUCAUCAUUUAUUGACCAAAACAAAAUCUCUUAACAAAACAAGAAACCGAUUUGUACAAAUAUUAUAUUAGAACAUCCAGAAAGGAUAUCUAAAAUGAUACAAUCAGGUAUUGAUUAAAACUUGCCCCAAAUUUUAACUAUUUCUACAACGGUAACAUUCACUAACAAAUUUUUCGAAUAAAAUUGGGAGAAAUAGGACGGCACCUUUGCAUUUUAUUGCUUUGCUCUCUCUUUUAACGAACAGAAGCACAGAUGGAUUGAUGAUUGUACAUCUCAGUUACCCCAUUUGUGAUCUGCUGUCGGUUUCUUCUCCGUUUUCUGACAACUAUAAAUCCUUCACCAUUCCCAUUUUUUUGGUUUGCAUCUUUGGGUUUUUUCUGUUCUUGAUCAUUGGACUGAGAUGCCAAGUUUGUUUUGCCCUUUUCAUUUCCAUAAAGGAUCUUUAUGAUAGCACUAUCAUUUGCAAUUGCAUCUGAAGAAUUUUCUGAAUACCAAUCUCCUUUUCAUAGCCUGAAGAUUGACUUGGAGCAUCCAUAUUAUGCUGGACUGACUUUACAAUGAAGCUAAGUAGUAUCUGUCUUGCCAGCUCUGACUUCUCGGCCUCUGUACUGCUCUUCCUUGAGGUAUUAUCUUCGCCUUGAAUACUGGACAUUUUGUCAAGCUUCUCAUCUUCUGCCUCACUUGUGUCAUUUGAAGAGUUCGACUCAUUUGAAACAUUUGAAUCUGCACUUCCAGGAUUUAUUUGCCAACCUCUCAUUGGCACAAACUUGGGUGCAUGCGGGUUCAUGAUUCUUGAAGGCCCCAACAGGUUUCUUUCCAUAAUGGAAGAGUGGUAUUUUGGAAAUCCAUGUUUCAUCAUGUAAGAAUAAUUAUUUCUAUAAUAGAGAGGCGACCUUGGCCCACAAGGAACUCUAGCAGCAGCCGAAGGUACAGCAGGUUCUGCAAGCAUACCUUGACUAGUUCUCGCAUCAUAAAUACUCGUGGCUGCUACAGAGUUUAGCAGAUGAGUCAUGGAGACAGAUCCUGGGUUGAAUGGUUCAGCUGUGGCAGAAAGCUUACUCCCAUUUGUUUCCAUGGGCUUUUCCUCGUUAGAAGAAGAAGGAACUUCCUUGGUAUCUGCAGCAGUAGUUUCAGAUUGAGUUACACUUCCAUGAGUUUCUUGAGACUGACCAUCAACUGGCGCAUCUUCAACUGGAGAGAAAUGGUUAUUCAACUCCGCCUUUGAUGUCUCAGGAGCAUUCCUGCACAUCUGCGUUUCAGUUUUUUCUUCAAUUUCUUCAUCAGGUUUCUCUGGUAAUGGCUUUAGAACCGUACCUGGUGGUGCCACAGAUACUUCUUUGUAAGACAGCGACUUGGAAGCCAUGGCAGUAAGGUUUGGUGGACUUGCAUAAACUUUGGAGACAGAAGCUUUUGCCUGCAGUUUAAUUGAAUCCUUUAUGCCUGUUAACUCAGUGGUGGUGGUCCUUGAAGCUUUUUCCCGUACUGGAGAAACAAUUUCCUGUCUAUUGCCUUUUUCUCUAAGAUUUGAAUGUUCACAACCAUUGACAUUUAGCUUUGUAAGAACAGGUCGCCUCCGGCUGAGCUUCCGAACAGCAGCAUUUCCUGACCUACCUUUUGGAUUGGCUUCUUGCCACCCCUCAUCUGAAUUUGUUUCUUCCACAAACUCACCUGAAAUUGCCGGUCCAUAUCUAGUAAUAUCAUCGUUCUCUUCUGGCUCUUCAGGUUCAACACGGUCUUCUAUUACCUCCUCGGUCUUGCUUUCCACUAUAGUCAUACUUUUUUUCAAUCCAUCAUUGGGCAGUGCAUCUUCCACCAUCAUAUCAUGAUGUACUCCAUGAAUCUUUUCCCUAAUCUGCAUUACCUGAAAAAAAUAAAUAAACCAAAAAAAGAAAACAAAACCUUUUUAACUUGUAUGCAUAUAAAAUGUCAAAAAUUGAGCCAAUAGAAAUAUUUCAUUUUAAGUUACAAUCAUCUUGUAAUUUUACAGUAGCAAAAUUUAUUACAACAAAUCCAGACAUAACAUGAGGCAGAAUUCAGUGGAACAUAAAUGGGAAUUUGAUAUGUACAUGCCUGAAAUGUUGAAAAAAACACUCAGUGAGAAAUUAUGCUAAUAUAUAUUAUGUUAAACUAAUGAAAUUCUUCAGCCUUUUGAAUCAUGGAAUUCUCAAAAAAAAUAAUCACAGCGAAAUACUUUACUAUUGUCUUAAAUUGUCAACCAGGUAAUACUUCAAAUUAGCACAUAAUAAUCCUGUCUUUCUAAUAUGUAGUAUUAUUUGGUUCUCUAAGGCCUACAAAAUGGGGAAAAAAAAAAGGGAAAAACUCCAACUGCCAAAUCGAAAAAUGUUUUUCUAGAAUCAAUAAUAACAACCAUUAAAUAACAGUAGAAUGGAAGAACUCCAUCUCCUAGCCAAAAUGAUAGAUCUGUCAUAUCCAUCCAUUGCACUUCAAAUUAAUGGUUUCUUCUCACUCUGUUCAAGGUUACGGGGUAAAACAAAAACUAUCACUCGUUCUGCUCAUCAUCUCUGAAUUUCUAAAGAACUAGCAGCUUGACCAAGCAACCCUCCAUCAUUGCCUACCAACUAUCAGCUGGCCCAAUCUAUGGCCAUCAAUAGAUCAGAACCUUCUAAAGUUUCAAUCAUGUCUGUGAUCUAUACAAGCAUGUUAGAUUUCUUUUUGUUGUUUGGGGGGGGGGGGGGGGAGUGUGAUUCUAUGCUAGAAAUGGAUGUUUAUAUUUGGUGCCUUCAGAGUUCACUCAGAAAAGUAGAACUAUUAUCCAGCAAUAGUUAGUUGCAUUUUGCAUGGACAACAAGUUUACUCGUGUAAUCAGCAAAUCCAAAACUAUAUGCCAGCAGAGUGUACUCUAAAAUACCAAAUCCUAACUAAAAUUAGUUUAAGAAUCCAUUCAGAUGGACAUCACAAGAAAAAAGGAACAGAGAACAGCAGCAUGCUUAAUGCUUCAUUUCACAUAGCUUUUCAAAUAGAUCUUAUUUGAGUAGAGUUCUGCUAGUAAAGAUUUUAUAAGUAAAGUUUUUACUCAAAAAAAUUGUGUUGUUUGGUUGUCAAUAAGAGCUUUUAUUAAAAAUUAUAAAAUUACUUUAAUAAGCAAAUUUUUUAAAGUUAUGUUUUGAAAAGAAAAAAAUAAGAUUGUCAUAUAAAUAGAGAAUAUUUUAGAUAUUUUAACAUUUAAAAAAAAAAUUUAACCUCUAUUCUCAAAAGCACAAAAUUUGAGCUUUUUAUAGUAGAGGCAAAAUAAAUUAUUUAAUUUUCAUGAGCUCUACUAAAAAAACAAUUAAACAACAAAAAAAAUUUUGAUAAGAGCUUAUAGGAUUAAAUAAAAUUUUAAGACCAUUAGAUAAGUCAUACCAAACAGGCACUAAGUAUGUACUACCUUUGCACGUCGUUGUUUCCUAUGUGCUUCGCUUCUUUUAGAAUCUUGACCAGGACUUAUGUAAUCCAGGAGAUCUGAUACACUGCGAAAAGCGAUCAUUAUAGGUCUUGGUGCCACAAGAAAUAAUCAACAAUUUAGAAACAAGUAAUGUGGGAAUACCCUGUUAAUACCUAAGGUGACCUUUACUCGCAAUGGACGCAUCUGGAUUUGGAGUUCCAUUCCGUGCCGCUUCUUGCUGCUCUAGAGCUCUUGAUUCAAAAUACUCCAGCCAUGCAGCAGCAUCCUGUAAAACAAAAAACAAAAUACAACAAAAUAACAAAAAUCUCUUCCCAUCAAUAAUAUGGAACUUGAGAAAUUCUCUCAUGACAGUUAAGAUUAGAGGUAGCAAAAUGGAUUACGACACAAUUACACAAUAUAAUACGACAUAUGACCCAUAUUUGUGUUAACAAAUAUUGACACGAUUAAUAAAUGAGUUGACACGACACGAUAAAUAACCAUGUCGUAUCUGUUUUGGACCAUCUCAACAUGAUUAUACGUUUAUAACAUAAAUAUCAAUUAUUAUGUGUUAAUAUUAUUGGAAAAAAACUAAAAUAUAUACUAAUCACCAAAUUAAUGACUCAUGUCAUAGUCAUAUUAUGUUAUAAACUUAUUCAUGUCAUACUUAUGUCAUUUUAACUUAUUUAUAACUUAUUUUUUUGACACAUUUGUUAUUUUUAAAUUAAUUUUUAAUUUGUUUGUAUUUAAUAUUAAACAAGUCAACACGAUUAAUAAACGGGUCAUAUCCGUAUUUUGAUAUUUCGAUACGAUUAAUGAAUGGGUCAUAUCCAUACUUAACACCAAAAUAGGCCGCCGAUACAAUUUGUUUUAUAUCAUAAUAUCACCUGUAAAAGAUUGACAAGAGAGAAGCCAACUAGCCAAAUUGCACAACAGAACCAAUUAAAAUAUGACUACAUGUAGUCACCUGAGUACGCAGAUCUUCUAGUCCAAGCUUUGCUUGGAGAAUCUUAAGUGUAGUUUGCUCAUGUUGCACACUUAGUGAAUAUGCCUCCAUCAAAGAAAGAGCUAUGGCUAUGGCAUGAUAACUUGCAGCUGUCUGUCACGUGAAGAAAUCAAACAAAAUGCUGAGUUUACAGAAAGAUUUAUAAGUCUAAAGAGCGUGUAUACAUGCGUAAAUAGAGAGAGAAAAAUCUGUAUAUGGUCACCUCCUAAUAGUCUUUGGUUGCAUUUAAUGGCCUCAUGCAAAUAUCUAAGAGAAAGAUGAACAUUUCCCAUGCCCUCUUCCAUCAUAGCCACAUUUAUGUAUGUUGCAGCAGUGUUUGGAUGUGAAAGUCCACAAGUAAAAUGCGAAAGGAAUAAGGCACGAUUUACAUAUCUGCCAAUAGUAUGGUAUGAUCAGGAGCUAGAGCCAAUAAAAGACAAAUAAAAGCUAAAGUAGGUAGAUAAAAACUGCAUUAGUUCAAAGCAGAUUCAAUACAAAGGUCUCAUUUUUCGAAACUUCCAAUUUAAUUUAUGAAUAAAUAAACCUUAAUCAGUUAAAGAAUGAAAACAAAGUUGCUCCGGUAAAUCAAGUAGUGCUACUCACUUAAGAGCCAAUUCAAUGUGUUGAAGGCGAUAAUAGAAAAUUGAAAGAUCCCCGUAGCUUUUCAUUGUAUCUGGGUGGUCGAGACCAAGUUCCCUCUCAUUAAUAUCCAAUGCCUUCUGCUGAUAUAUAGUUGCCUAAAAUGAAGAAGAAGAUAUCUUGAGUACAUACGAACACUACUCUAACACUCAGACGCAGAUGCCAUUAGACGAAAUGCCGGAACAUAAGAAUCAUGAACGUGUUUGAUUUAGUUAAAAUAUAUAAUCUGAUAUCAAAAUUAUGCUAAUGCCUGUACAUGUAAUUCCUAAGUCCAGAAAAUUAUAAUUCCUAAUGCAUAUCUUUAUACAAGACCAUAAAAACUAACCAUAACACACAAAAAUUCAAAUCAAAUGUCCCGAUGAAUGAGAACCUCCGUACAGAAGGACGUUAUAAUUAUACUAGACUUAGAAUCACCAAGUUAACACUGAAAUACAACUGAAGAUUGUCCUACCUGAUUAAAGUCUCCAGUAUAGUAGAGAACUACAGCUAGAAGACUGUAAGCACUUGCAGUAGUCCGAUGGUCGGGACCACAAACAGCUAUCAUCCUUGCCAGUGCCUUACAAUGCAAGUAAUACAUCAUAUGAGAUCAAGAGAUGCCUUAUUAUGAAAAGAAUAAUGUAAUUCUUACGUAUAGAUCGAGUGGGUUAUUACCUUUGUCCCAUAAUUUACAGCAUCUUCUAGUUUUCCUCUAUCAAGGGCAAUUUUGGAUGACUCUAAUAAGGUCCGUCCAUCGGCUGAAGUGCAACCUACAUGCUGUAGAAUGCCAUAAAAGUAGCACAAUUACAUUCAAUUUACAAAUGAGUGACUCAUUGAGAAUGUAAAAACUAAAUCAAAACACAAUUAAGAGAGAAAAUAGUCUCACCUUGCACACAGGAACCAUGCUGACAAUAUCAUCUCUCGUGAAUGGGUUUGGGCAUUCCAUAUAAUAAUCUCUGGGAACCAACACCAACCCAACCUGGGUGAAGUUUACAAGCAAAAUUCAAGCUUUGAAAAUAAUCGGCUGCCAAAGGAACCGAAAAGACAGAACCUUAUAUGGCAAAGCCCACGUAGAAUUGAAAUCUUUCUCAAAUGCUGAAACUCAUCUUUCAGGGACCAACCAAAUCUUCUGCCAAGAAAUGUUCAUAGCCACUGCAAUCUGAGGAUAUGAUCUUCAUUCAAGCUUUGGUCAUCUUCCAUCUCACAACAGCCAAAUAAUAAAUUUAGGGAAGAAGCUAUAGCUGCAGAUAGGUCUGAUAAAUAGUCAACAGAUGCGAUGACUCCUUUAAGUAUAUGCUUGAACGCUCGAGUAACCAUCUCAUGAAUACAAAGUGAUUGUAUGUGAGGAAGCUUCUCUGCAAGUUCAACCUGAAUUUGUAAAUGGGAUUAGAACCAACAGAAGAAGAAUACCAGGCUUUCAAGUAUUAGCAUGUCAAUUUCUCAAAAUAUUGUAUGUCAUACAACAUACAGUAAUAUCUAAAGACGACAAUAAUUCAAUGUCUUGGAAAAGGUCAAAAAUGUCAAAAAUUCUAUCAUGUAGUACAAUUUUCAAAAAGGAACAUUGAUAAUUCAAUCCAGGAAGACUUGGGGGGAUUGUUUACAUAUAGAAAGAUAACUUGGGGGCUUUGUUUACAUAAAGAAAGACAACCUUUGCUUAUUCCGAUUUCCAUGGGUGAAUAGGUUGCAUGUCUGAGAGAGAAAGAGAGGGAGAAAUUCCUCAGCACGCGACCUAAAGAGCGCAUUUGUAGUCCCCUUAAAUGCAUAAAGUCUGUCAGUGUCGGCCAUCAACCGGAGAAAGUUCAAGUGAUCCAAAGUCUGUUACCUAAUAAAGAAUGGAAAUUAGUCCAUAAACCAUCCCCACACGUCUAAAUUGGCUGCAACAAAGGCCCUAAAUAAAUUAAAUAGUACCAGCUUUGGUAAAGCAAUGUCAUCAUAAUACUUGUAUGUCAUUUUCAUAAGCUCAUCCACUGCCUGCACAAUAAAUUAAUUUUACCAGUCAUUCCAUAUGAAAAUAAAACAAACCAAAUUUAGCGUAAUGAAAACACAAAAAGUAGCAAACUUUACAGUUGAAAUGCAAAACAAAUUUGAGAUUCUGAAACCUUUGAAUGAAGACUAGUGCCAGUUUCUUUCAAUCGCAAGAAGGAUUCUUCAGAAAUUAGUUUUUUUCAAUUCCAUCUCACAAUUCAGCUCGCCAUUGCUUUGCUGUCUACCAUUACCUCCCACAUUCACGCUGCACGGUCCAUUGUCAUUUUCGUUAGCCUCAUUAAUGCUACCAAUAAGGUUAGGUCUGUUCUCCCUCUUCUUCAAAAAUUUAAAUUGCUUCCCAAGACCUUUGACAGCAUGUUCAGUCUCAAUAUCAUCCCCAGACCUCGUUGACUUGGUAUCUGUUGGAGUUUCCUACUUUUGUAGAUGCUGCACCCAACAAGAACCAAGUUCCCAUCUAAUAGAUCUUUCUAAAGCAGUUGGCUCCAGCUCUAACUUUGCUAAACUCUGUUUAAUAACUCCUCUUACAAGACUUCUAAAAGCUUCUGAAUUAUCCAUAUUGCACAGAGGUGACUGGUCUCCUCUAGCCGAUUCAGCACUGAAAGACUUCUGAAGCACAAGCCUUAAGCUGUAAUAAAUAGUUUACCCUGUCAGAACAACUUAAAUGGAGAAAGACAUAAGAGUAUAUGAAACAAAGGCAGAAUCCACCAAAGAAGGCCUAAAUACUUUCUGAAAUAGCACAAUCUAAAAAGCUGAUGACCAAUUUCAGCAACUGAGCAUGCACUGUAAUUAUACUUUCCUUUAUCCUUUAUUUGAACAUCAUCAACGAUGUCUGUUGGUUAUUUUGUUAAUAUAACAAUUACAAACCAAUGUCAGGGCACAUAACUAUAAACACUCAACCAUUAUUGUGAAAGCCAUGACUUAAUGUUUCCUGCAACCACUCGUUAUUAUUUAGGUGGUCUACAACUAUGCAGAGGUGAAGCAUCCCCAUACAGUGAAGGAUCUCACACGUAUUUUAAUAGAGGAAAAGCCAUUUUCUAGUCGACAGGAUGCUGAAAGAGGAGUAUAUAUCCCUAACUAGAUAUCAACUUUCUUUUCUUUGGCCUAUUCAUAAACUUAACACUUGAAGAAAACCUGGUUUAGAAAUCUGCAAUCAACUUCCCUUAAGAGUUCAGACAUCUAUUGAUUAGAUCCCAUCUAAACAGAAAGAAAAAGGAGCAUGUGCUAUCCUUUCUUAAGAAUCCCCAACACCACCAUUUCAAUCAUGUUCUAUCUGGUAAAAAUAAAGAGAAUAACAAUGCUCUGCAUCAUGAAUUCAACUGUGCUAGACACUAAGCAAAGAAGCUCAUACCAGUUAGUAUGUCUAAGAUAUCUUGCAGAAUAGCUUAAAACUGUUAGUGGUUGAAAGAUAAUUUUCCAUAUCUUACAGCCAUUCUCCAUCUGUAGAUUUCCUAGUCUUUGUGUGCUAAGAGGAAUCGACAGGGGAAGCAUUGUGUUACAAUUUCAAACCUGUUAAUAUUAAGAGAAUUAGCUCCUCCAUCAGGUUGAUCUUCAAUUUCAAUAUCUUGUGUGCCAAACUUCUCCUUCACAUCACCAACAACCUUUACUACAGCGGUGUAUCCACAGUGUCUUACAAUGACGGUACCCAAUGAGGAGGUAUCCUGCCAAAAACUAUAUUGUUUCAGUUCUCUUUAUCACAAAAUCUUUCAAACUAAAAUAAAAGAAAGAGAAAAAGAAAAGGAAGAUAAAUCUAGAUAUUUCAAGAAAAUUUUAUUUCAAGAUCUACCAUGCUGAAAACUUUAGCAAUUGUAUCACUAGUUGAUAUAAUACAAGCAUGGACAACCAAGGUUAAUAGGCUUCCCCAAAAAGGGUUGAUGACAUUAAGCUGGAGCAAACUACAAGCAGAAAAUCAGAGGGAUAUGGAUAAAAUGAGUAGAAAGACCUGCUAUCAAGUGAUUUCAACAGAAUAGGGAGUCACCAAACAGAAUGGCACAUAAGAUUCAUGAAGCUAAACCAGAUAUAUAAGGUUAGUAACGAGUAGUGAUUCUCAGGAAAGAACCUAAAAUUGACUUUCUUGUGCAUUCAUAAAUGUGUAGAAAGAGAGAAUGAAGAGGAUGGGUAUUUUAGGCCAUCAUCAAAUGCUAGAUAUCAGAUAAAGAGUGAAACAUCUUAAUCCGACUGAAAAAACACUCCCUGACAAAGGUAGAGCUAUAUUUUUCCGCCCACGUAAGUAAUUUCAGCUUUGAUGAAUGUCUUUUAUGUGUGUGGUCUGUGAACGUAAGCAUAAGAAGUAAAGGAGAAAUCGACUUACGUGAACAACUACACUCUCAUCUGCAGUAACACCUUUUAGUAAAUUCCUUUGAGCAACUUCUGCAGCAGACAUACCGGAUGACUGAUUUCCUUUAAUAGUAACCUCAGACUUCAAGCUUGCAUCUACUGUAUCACGUUUUACUGUAAUGGACAAGUCUCCCACACGAUCUUCAUGCAAGAUCCCCUUUGGACAUUGAUUGUAUCUUGAGUGUGUAAAUUUGAAUCAAUGAGACGGCGUAUUGCUCCAACAGCUUUAAAAAUUGAGACAUCAACAAAUUGGUUAUGAAGCAAAAAGGCCUUCCGAUCUCUAACCACCCUCUCCUCUUCAGUUUUGCAAGGAAGCCUAGCCAGUAUAGCAAAUUCCGUCGCCCAUGGUCGUAAAUCAUGUUCUCCAUCUCUUCCCUGGCCUCCGCCAUUGCCACCCCAAUUCUCAUCUUCUGCCGGUAGGCAUGGGAAAUUUGAUGGAGACUCAGCAACAGAUGGAGGUACAAGCCAUGUAUUAGCUCGAAAUCCAUAGGGAAGAUUACCAAACUGAAGAAGGAUAAUGAAUAUACUAUAUCAGUAAAAUCAAGUUAAAAUCACAUUUGAAUUGGUAAUAAACUAUGUCAGCACAGAAAUUGUUACCUUAUUAUGUUCAACAAAAGCUUUCAUUAGGGAUUCAUAUGCCUGCAUCACGCAUAAUGACCAUAAUUAUUAACAAAACAAUUGAUGGGUAAGCUAAUUGAAUUUACAGAGGAAAAAAAGAUGCAUUCAGAUAAAAAAGAAAAAAAUAAUCUGUAGAUUCAACUAUUGAGUACCCACAUUGGCAAAAGCUCGACUGAGAUUUUGCAGAAGAUCCACCAGGGAGUUGCUUCGGAAAAACUGCUUUCCCAAAGUAUAGAACCCUUUUACUGAUGCAACUACUUGUAUAAGCUUUCCAUUGCAGAUUUUUAUCUGUGAAAAUAAUUCAUGCAUUCUUAUUAAUUAGCAGACAAUGAUUAUUAAAUCUUUAACACUCAUUGGCCAAUUCAUCAGCAAAAAUAAUGAGUUGAAUAACUCUACAAUUAAUUAGUCCUUAAACAACAAACAACAAUAAUCAGAACUUUAUAUUAAAUGGCACCUGAAUUUCAAAAUAAUCACCGUCGCGCUUCUCUCCUUCUUUGCGUUCACAUUUUCUCAAAUCUUCAAAAUCAAAAUUAUUAAAAAUUAAAAUCAAUAAACAAAUUUCAUAUUCAAAUAAAUCACAUAUAUUUAUUUCAUUUUCCUCUUUCUUUUUAUUUUUUUUUUGAUCGACCAUGUAAAAAACGAAGACAAAUAAAUAAAUGGACAUUAGGCUUACUCAAGAUGGGGGGAGAGAGGUGAGAGAAAGAGAAGAAGUCAUAAAACUCGGAGGGUUUCGGCGUCGGGUGAAUGGCCACCAUGUCCAGACUCGGAGAAACCGCCGAUGAAACUGGCGAUGACGUGGCGCGGGGCCCGCUUCGGUUAUCUGCUGCUGCUGUUGCUGCUCAAUCAGACAGAGCGGCAGAGUUUGGUGAAGGCGGGUGGGGCCUACUGCCGUUCUUUUUGGCACAUGACUCUGACGGUGGCGGCAAUCGGGAGUUUCUGGACUUGGAGAACCAUGUGGUGCACGCGACGAUGUCAAGAAGCCGCCGCACGUGUGCCACGGCCUGAGAUUCGUCGGUGUAUUCCUCGGGAGAAUUGUGUGGGAUGUACCCCAUUCCCUUCAAAAUACCCAAUAUAUACCUAAAAUUAUAACACUCUUAAAUUUUACACAUAUAUACUCUAAAAAAUUAGAGAAAGUAUAAAAAUAACCACAACUAAAUUCUCUUAAAACUAAACCCAACUCCUCGAAGUCGGGUAAAUAGUUGAGAAUACUCAACUUCAACCAAAUCAUACACAAUUAAUAAUUCAGCAUAAAUUCUCGACUUUUUCAUGUUAGUCGAGUAAAUAGUCGAGAAUACUCGACUUCAAUUGAAAAAAAAAAUUAUCUAAAAAAUUAUUGAUUUUUUUAAGUAAGUUGAGUAAAGAGUCGAGAAUACCCGACUUUAAUUUAACCCUACCCAAUAUUCAUUCAGCAAAAAUUCUUGACUUUUCAUUGAAGUUCGGUAAUUGGUUGAGAAUACUCAACUUAAAUUGAAAUGAAAAUUUUCCUUUUAAUUAAGUUAGGUAAAAGGUCGAGUAUACUCGACUUUGGUUGUGUUAUUAUGUAGAAGUCAUGAGAGAGGAACUAAACGUAAAUAGAUGAUUUUUUUAGGUUAUUUUUUACAUUUUACACUUUUAGGAGGUAUAUGUAUGUAAUGGGGUAUAGAUUUGGCAUUUAAGGACAAAUGGGGUAUAUUUAAAUAAAAAACCCGUAUUCCUCUGCGAAGGACAGUGCCAAAAAUGUAAAUAACAAGGAAUUGCCAGGCAAAGUUUUUUUUCUUUUAUUAUUUUAGUUCUUUCAAUUAAGUGAAAUUAUCAUUUGUAUACCCUUAGUUUACUCCAUUAUCAAAAAUAUUAUAAUAUUUUGAGGGUGUAUCAAUCGUCCACCUUAAGUUGACAAAAUAUAUCAGCUGACCACCAAACUGUUAAUUAGUGUUUAAGUAUGAUGACGUCAGAAGGGUAAUUUAGUCUUUUUAUAUGAUACAAGUGUUAAUUUAAGAGUAUACAAGUGAUAAAAAGAGAAUUUAAGGGUAUACAAGUGAUAAUUUUCAAGGGUAAAAUCAUCAAUUCACUGUAAUUCCAUUAACUUUCAAACGGCAACUAACGGUUUGGUGGUAAACUGAUCCAUUUUGUCAACUAAGGGUGGACGAUUGAUAUCUAUCUUCAUUUCAUUACUUAUAGCUAUAAAUGAAAAAUGUUUUUUUAAUAGAUCUUAGAUUUCAAUGCUUUUGAAGUAUUAUUUAUAUCUAUACAUCAAAACUGGAAAAAAAAAUCUAAAUCUAACUAAUAUGACAUUUAUCUUUCACUCUUCCAUUUAUUAAUCUUGCUACAGGAUUAAUAUGACAUUAAUUCUUGAUACAGAAUUGUUAUGUUGAAACAUGAUAAUUAAAUAUUUGCAUCACUGAUACACCACCUUCCUAAUGAUUUGUUGAUCAAAGUACUUGGACAAAAUUAUAUAUGAAGACCAGUUCGUUUUUCUUUUUCUUUUUUUGUUUUUGUUUUUCUUUGAAUGCUGAGGAAUAAAUUAAAUUUAAGACAAAUUAAUUGUAUUUUAAGACAAUUUAUUAUUUAAGAAGACAAUUAAAAUAUUAUCAAUUUCUCUUUACAUUAUCCAAUAGGUUUAGAGGUUACAGAACCAUUGUCCAGUGAACAACAUCAAGUGAACAAAUUCUUCCUCAGAAAAUUGUAAUGUUAAACAAGAAGGACUUCGGGCUAUGAAGAGCAAAAAGUGUGUGGGCAUUUUUUUUUUCCCCUUUUUCCAGAUUAUUGAAACGCUUUUGCAAUCAACAUCAUAUUAUGAGAAAUAAGUUCACAUUACUCUAUUAUUAUUUGUGCUGACCAAAAUAAUUAGGCAAUUUGAUUUUUGUCUGUUUUUUAAGUCUUGUACUGGAUUUUGAUCGAAUUCGCUAUAAUUAGUUUUCAUUCUAUAAAAUUUUGAUCUUUUAUUUUCAAGUUCAGGAAUAUGUAAUUUGAAGAAUCUUUUUGAGUUGGAUCUAAGCUCAAAUAACUUUGAGGGUCACCUUCCUCAGUGUCUCAACAACUUGACCAAUCUCAAAGUUCUUGAUAUUUCUAAUAAUCAAUUAAGUGGAAACUUUCCUUCUACCUUGACCAACCUCGCAUCACUUGAAUAGUUGUUGAAAUUUCAGAGGCUAAAAACAUCCAAAAGUUGUGAUCUUGAGUUACUGAUGAAUCGGCUUAUUUUUCUUUAGCCUUCCUCUGUUUUCCUUCUCAAUUUCCUUUGCUUUCCUUUAUUCAAAUUCAUUAAGCUUAUUUUUGUAAUUUCAGAGUAGACCAUACUUUUACGAAUAAUUUACCAAACAAAAAUGACAAAAUUAUUUUUGUAAUUUCAUAGUAGACCAUACUUUUGGAAUAUCAGUUAUGAAAUGACGAAUGAAAUCCUCUGUUUUUAGUCUCUCUGUCCUAUUAUCGUUAAUGUUAAAAAUUUCAGUGGCUUAAAACAUCCAAGAGUUGCGUGCAAUUGUCAUAUGAUGUUACUGAUGAAUUAGCUUAUUUUUCUUUGGCUUUCCUCUAUCUUUCUUCGAGUAUUGAUAUUUGAACACUGUCAAGAAGCCACCAAGAUAGAAACACCAGUAGUGUUUAUACUACAAUACCACUAGUUUACUGUAUCUUUCUUUUAUGAGCAAUUGAACUUUUUAUGUAUUAAUUAUAGCCGGUUGCUUUGAAGCGGGGUUUCUGCCUUGUUGUGCAAUUCAUUUGCCAUAUGAAUCUGAAGAAUUUAUUGUUCACUGAGAUCUUAAGACUAUGGAGCGAAGGCCUUAACAGAAUUAGCUCGUUACAUGUGACACGCAGGAUGUCUGUGUUAAUUAUUUUGAUUCACACGGAGGCUAAAAACAUCCAAAAGUUGUGUGCAAAUGUCAUAUGGAGUUACUGAUGAAUCAGCUUAUUUUUCUUUAGCAUUCCCCUCUUUUCCUUUUCAUUUUCUUUUACUUUUCCUUCAUUCAAAUUCUUUCACUGUGCGGCUGUGGUCCUCAAACUCAAUUAUGAUAUUUACUAGUCGUGCGUCGAAUGUGGCUCUGAUUGAUGAUACGAUUGCUUGAUUUUGUUUAUAAACUUGGCUAUUGGUUAACGUCAACACACAUCCUCCAUGUCCAUGGGUUAGUUGACAGAGUACGUCAAUCGAAGGUCGCCUUACAGUGUGCGUGUUUGAUUAUAAUUAUCGUAGAAUAAGUCAAUGAAAUUGCAGAAAGUCUCUAAUCAUUUAAUAAAUCUUUCGUAAAUUUCCUCAUCGCUUCCUAUGUCACAAUGAUAUUGGUGUAGCCAGUGACUUUGAAUAAACUCAUACUGGCGUACAUUAUGGUUUUAGCACUGCCUGGAACUAUAUUAUUCAUCAAUUUUUUUUAUAACAUUAAGACAUCCUCCAUGUCCCACGGGUUAGUUGACAGAAUACGUCAAUCGAAGGUCGCCUUGUAGUGUGCGUGUUUGAUUAUAUGAUUAUAAUUAUACGUCAAUCGAUGGAUGUUCUAAUUCAUGUUUCCAUUGGCUUUCGAAACAAAAAAUCUCAGUUUAUUGUGAAAUAUACAAGCCCUUAUGCACACCGGAUAAUUUUCUAAACAUGUAUAAAAAAUAGUUGAUUAUUGAUUUUCACAAAUUCCAAUAUAUCAAACAUCCUAUUGAAUUAUUAAUUCCAAAGCACUUUUUUAAGUAUCAAUAGUGGAAUAAAUUAUUUGAUAAUUUAAAACCCAAACUUACGCCUAAAUUCUUUAAAUUAUCUCAUUCAACUUUUAUUUUAUUAGUUGACUAUCUCCAUCAAUUUUUGUAAAAAAUAGAAUUGACGACCAUUUGUAUGUUGGCUUUAUUUGAAAGUCCGUCAACAUUUAUUUUCCAUGGAGUAUUAAUGAAGUGUUUUUCCUCAUUGGUCCAGGUCCUACAAGUCUUCGUCAGUCAUUAUAGAGACCAAAACUAAUUAUCUUUAUCUGUGCCAAUCGCCAUAAAGAUUGAUUUUGAAUUAAUAUUAAGAUCGAUUGUCCAGUAACAUUAAGAUUGAUUGAAUCAAUCUUUAAAAAUCAAUCAAACUUCCAAUUAUAAUAAUUGUGACAUUUUUUUCAUAAAUUCGUAAUUUUUGUAUAAAUCGAGCUUUUAUGCUCAUGAUUGGUGAAGCAAUAGAGCGAAAAAUUUGAUCUUGAUAGGAAAUAUUAAUUGAGCAUACAUUGGGUUUCGAUGGAACUAAUCAUUCACAAGUUUUGGUGGUCACUGUGAUUGGCGCUUUAACACAAUGAUUGAAUGCUACAAUACAUAUGUAUUUAUUUAUAAAAUUAAGCCUAUUUAAAUUUCACCUCUACAUAUAUCAUACAUCAUAUAAAAUGUCAUUUGAAUGUAGUCCACGCUUUUAUGAGUAAAUUAUCAAAUAUAUAUGGAAAAUUACUUGAUUAAUUGUUGGCCAUCUAAUAAUAAAAAAAAAUUAACAAAAAUCUAAUAAAAUAAUUUUCUAAACUCACUAAAUAUUUUAGAAUAUUAAUCCUUGAAUAGAUUUUUUAAUAAUUCAGUGCAAACCCAAUCAUACAAUUCAAUAAAAGGUCAAUCAUACUCUUAAAUUACAUAAAUUCUUAGUCAACUUUUAUUUGAUAGUAUUGACCGUCGCCACUAAUUGUUAGUGGAAAAAGAAUUGAUGGUCACUUGUUUGUUGGCUUAAUUUGAAAGUCAGUCAACUUUAAUUUUCCACGUAGUUGUAAUAAUAUAUGCAAAAUUUUUAUUUUCCACGUAGUUGUCAUUUAAAUUGGACCCGUGCAGCUGUCCCAAGUUCAUACGAAAUUUCUGUUUUAGUCAUUUUAGUAGCUUUGAUUCAAAUGCAUGAACACAAGGGGUCACAAGAGCUUCAAAUAACAUUUAUGUGUUUUGUCAUUUCAGACUACGCCACACUAACUAAACAUAGAUGAAGAUUUACGUUGAUUAAUUAUUGAUUCUCUAAUAAAUUAAUUUAAACUUAUCAAACAUCCAAUCAAAUUCUUCUCAAAACACAUUAUUUAAUAGAUUGACUGAUAAUGCAAUGGAAAUUCAAAUAUACGGUUAAAUUAUUUAAAUUCUCUCAGUCAACUUUUAUUUUACUAGUUAUGAUUAUCUCCAUCAAACUAUUGUAAAAAUUUAUAGUUUACAAUCACUUUAUCUAUAUUUUCCACGGGGUAUUAAUGAAGUGCUUUUUCCCGUUGGUCGAAUGUUGCAAAACAUGGAAUGCUUACAAGUCUUCAAACAUGGCGAUGUAUUGGAAAGUCUUAAAAAAGUCUUCAGCCAAUCAAAUUGCAAGACAUGCGAUAAACUUUUAGUAUAAAUUGCUCUGCAAUGGAAAGUUGCUCAUUGCACAUUUAAUUUUAACCAAAUGAAAAGUUGCUCUACAAUGGAAAGUACUUCCUGUAUUAAGUUCUCAUUAAUGUCACUAAUUUGGAUUAUUGUAUUGAUGAAUGAAAUUCAUGGAUACAAAGGAUGCUUGGAAACAGAGAGGACUGCUCUGUUGGAAAUCAAGAGCUUCUUCGUAUCAAUCAGGGAUAUUGGAUAUGAUGACAAAAUUCUUCCUUCAUGGGUUGGUGAGGAUGAUGGAAUGUCGUCUGAUUGUUGUGAUGAUUGGGAGGGAGUUAUGUGCAACGCCACCACACGACGCGUGAUGC
rnacentral:lncRNA from 1 species